GCCGACGCGAUUAGCUCUCCAAUUUACACACCUGAUUCCACAGUCCAGGUGAUUUAUGUUGUUCGAGGGAGUGGCCGGAUACAGAUCGUGGGUGUUAACGGUCAACGUUUGUUGGACGCAGAGGUAACCGCCGGGCAACUGCUUGUGGUACCAAAGUUCUACAUGGUUGCUAAACUCGCAGGACAAAAUGGGUUGGAGUGUUUCGCUGUCAUGACCAGUUCUCAGUAAGCACACAUUAUUAUUGUGCAAAAUAAUAUUGAAAUUUCACAACAACAUUACUUCAAUUUCAGUAGUAUUUUAUUUAGGGAUAUACUUAAUUGGUAUUAUUUUUGCAGGCCUGUCUUAGAAGACUUAGCUGGGAAGACAUCAGCUUUGGGAGCAUUAUCACCGGAGGUACUACAAAUAGCCCUUAAUAUAAGUCCAGGGCUAGAACAACUUAUCAAGUCAAAGAUUAGAAAGGGGUGAUCGAUCAUGAUCAACGGUUCAACGGCCUAAUUAUAUAUCUCCAUAUAUAUAUAAAAAGGGACACUUUGGAUGCGGUCCCUAGCUAUCAAUAUUCUUUGAUUGAAAACUUGUUAGUUUUUAGUUUUUUAUUGAGGUCCCUGACAUUAAUGUAAUAAUGUAAGUUACUAUAUUUUUUAAAUUAAAAAUUAAAAAUUGAAAUUUGAAAUUUGUAAUUGUUUAUAUUAAUGAGAUUUUAAAUAAAACCCAUAAUUUAUGGGAUUAAAAAUAAUAAAAUAUAAAUUAUACUCUAUUAUAUUGUGUGUGUGUGUACAUAUAUGUAUGGGUACAUUAACCAAAAUUAACAAAAAAAGUUAUUGUACCAAAACAUGGAUACAUUCUCAGAUCAACGAAAAAGAAUGUAUCCAUAUAAGUUUAAACAUGGAUUAAAAAAUUUGAAUGGAUUUUAUAUUAAAAAAAAGGGUACAUUUUACAUAUAACAAAUUGAUAUAUUUGAGAAUGGGUACAUUUAAGAUUAAAAAAAUUGAAAAAUUAUAUGAAUGGGUACAUUUAAGAUUAAAAAAUUGAGAAUCUUUUUAUGUAUAAAAAAAAACUAAUAGGUACAAACUUAAUUUAAUUUAAUGUUUUAUUAUUUUGGAAAUGUUUGAAUUGAAAAUUAAUUAGAAGUUUAAUAGAGGUGUGAGUAUUAAACCCUAAAUUAAUUACUAAUUUUUAUAUUAAAAAAUUAUAUAAUAAACAUGUAAAUUCAUUAUCACAUUAUUGCUAGGGACUUGAAUCAAAAUUUAAGAACUAAUAAGGUCUUAGUCAAUGAACAGUAAGAACUAAGGAUCGGAUACUAAUUUUUUCUAUAUAAUAUUAAUAAGAAGAUCCAUGCAUCAUGCAUGAUAUAUUACUGCAAUGCAAGAGUGAGAUACGGUCUUUCUGUAUGUAAUUUUGACUUCAAGAAUUUUAGCUAUAGCACACCCCUUGUAUUGGUGUGGAUUAAGAUGAAAGAGCACCGACUUCGGUGGCAAUUAUCAGUAGCCACCAUGCAGCCACUGAAUAAGAAUCCAUGUCCUAUGUAAACAUCUUCAUUGUAACAAACGCCACUAUUUCUACAUCCGUGUAAAAAGGUAAUAGUACAAGUCUCAUUAUAUUCGAUCUUUUUAUUUAAAAUAGGAAGUUUAACGAAAAGUUCCUGGAAUUGUUUACUUUAACGAAAAAUCAUAUUUUUACACUAAAAAGUUAAUCAUGAUAUUAUUCACUUUACUAUUUAUUUUAUUUUUAUCAUUAAAACAAAAAGUUUUCAGACACUUUUUAUUAGUUUUCUUUUAUUUAUUUAUAAUUAAAAAUAGUAAGUAAAUCUUGUUAGAGAAAAUGUCCUUUUUGCAUCAGUGUCCAGAUAAGAUGAGAGAAAAUCGGUUACGGUGGUUUGGACAUGUGCAAAGAAGGCCUACUGACGCUCCGAUUAGAAGAUGCGACUAUGGGACAGAGGUUCAGGGCCGAAGGGGUAGAGGAAGACCUAGGAAAACUUUGGAAGAGACUCUAAGAAAAGACUUAGAGUACUUGGAUCUAACGAAGGACAUGACACAGGAUCGAGCACAAUGGCGUUCUAAGAUUCAUAUAGCCGAUCCCACUCAGUGACUUGGAUUUUCCAAGUCUCCAACCGAGAAGUUUUCCUCACUCGGGAAAUUAAGGGAACACUACCCCAACCUACAUGCUCCACUCAGAAAGCUUCAACAUACAAGCUUCAACAUACAAGCUUCAACAAAAGAAAAUUCAAAGAACUUAACGAAGAAGGCUUUGGUGUAUUUAACACAAUACGUUGAAAUGAAGGAAAGCUUAUUUAUUGAUAUUCCCGAUAAGCUACAAAUAUGUACAUAUACAUGAGUCAAAAUAAACACACAAGAGGAAGCCUUCACAAAGGUUGCUUAGGAGAAGUCUCAGCAGUCGGUAGAGCCCCAGAAAGAGAAGGCACCGGAGGGGGAUCAUUUGGAGCCUCAGUACUGGACAGAACCCUAGAAGGAGGAGGCAUCAGAGGUUGAUCAUUUGGAGCUUCAUUACGCGGUACAGCCCCAGAAGACGAAGGCAAUAAAUGCCUUUGGAACAAACCCACAAAUCUCUGAUGAUCAAGUAAAACCUGACCAUCAGUUUCCUUCAUCUGGUCAAGCUUCCUCUUCAUGUUUGUAGCAUAGUCAUGUGCGAGCCGGUGCAACUGUUUAUUCUCAUGCUUGAGCCCUCUAAUCUCAUGUUUGAGACUCAUCACUUCAGCCGCCAAUGAUUCAACUUGGCGGGUUCGAGCAAAUAGGCGUUGGGCCAUAUUAGACACAGAACCUGCACACUGAACACUGAGAGCCAGCGAAUCCUUAACAGCUAACUCAUCAGACCGUUUGGAAAGUAGUCUGUUAUCUUUGGGAGUGAGAAGGUUCCUGGCCACCACCGCAGCGGUCAUAUCAUUCUUCAUCACGGAAUCCCCAACGGUAAGAGGACCAGUAGGGGAGACGAAGGAUGGGCCCAUAUGUUGUCUGGAGAAGGCGGGGCUGCCUCUUCAACAAGGUUCAAGUCAAAACGACGGUCGGAGGGGCCAGACAUUUUCAAAGGUGUUGAAGAGAGAAGAGGUCGGACAAAUCAAGAUCUUAGAAGUGCAAGAAUGAAGCUUCUACUGGUGGAGAUUCAAGUGUGGUUUGGAACUUAAUGCCAGCCCCUAUAAAAAUCUGCACUCGACGGAGCUUCAGAAAUCGAAGAGGCGCCUGCUCAGAAAUCGAAGAGGCGUUUGCUUUCUCAAAAGUUGGGCUACUUAGAGAUCACGAGGGUUGAUCUCAGAAAUCGAAGAGGUGUUUGCUUUCUCAAAAGUUGGGCUGCUCAAAGACCACGAAGGCCGAUCUCAGAAAUCGAAGAGGCGCUCGCUUUCUCAAAAGCUGGGCUCCCCAGAGACCACGAGGGCCGAUCUCAGAAAUCGAAGAGGCACCUACUUUUUCCAACCUUGUCAGCACCUGUCACACGCACACUCAGCUUUACGGAAAUUAUGGGCAUUCUGUCAAAGACUUCUGGGGAAGUAGAAAACACAUGAAUCUUACUGUUCAAUCACCCAUUUCCCACACGCAACAAUAGCUCAUGGGUACCACAGAUAACUUUGCCAAAGUUCUCUCUGCCAAAGUUGAGCACGUGAAGCUUGCAGCUCCCACUACAUCGCUCUGACCAAGAAGGGUAAAAGAAUAGCAAAGAAACAGCACUAACAAAGUUUAGACCCAUAAAUUUUGAAGGUCUAGCUACCAUAUUAUUACCCACAAGGGUAAAGGAACAGUACCAUUGCUGGAUAAUUGGAAAGUCCCUGUGUGUCAACCUCUGUGCUUCGUGGCAAGGUAGACUAGCAAACAUGCCCAACCUUUACUCACAUUCGAGAAAACACUCCCAAUAAGAUUGCUUGCUCCAAAAUCAAAGAGGCACCGCUCUCCGAAUCUCGAGAGCCAGACUCCCAACAUGAUUACUUUCUCAAAAAUCGAAGAGACACUGCUCCCCGAAUCUCGAGAGCCAGACCCCCAGCAUGAUUGCUUUCUCAAAAAUCGAUGAGGCAUCGUUCUCCGAAUCAAUCGAAGAGGCGCUCGCUUUCUCAAAAGCUGGGCUGCUCAUAGACCACGAGGGCCGAUCUCAGAAAUGAAAGAGGCACCUACUUUUCUAGCCUUGUCAGCACCUGUCACACACACACUCAGCUUUGCAGAAAUUAUGGGCAUUCUGUCGAAGACUUCUGGUGAAGUAGAAAGCACAUGAAUCUUACUGUUCAAUCACUCACUUCCCACACGCAAUAAUAACUCAUGGGUACCACAGAUAACUUUGCCAAAGUUCUCUGCCAAAGUUGAGCACGUGAAGCUUGCAGCUCCCACUACAUCGCUCUGACCAAGAAAGGUAAAAGAAUAACAAAGAAACAGCACUAACAAAGUUUAGACACAUAAAUUUUGAAGGUCUAGCUACCAUAUUAUUACCCACAAGGCUAAAGGAACAAUACCACUGCUGGAUAAUUGGAAAGUCCCUGUGUGUCAACCUCUGUGCUUCGUGGCAAGGUAGACUAGCAAACAUGCCCAACCUUUACUCACAUUCGAGAAAACACUCCCAACAAGAUUGCUUGCUCCAAAAUCGAAGAGGCACCGUCCUCUGAAUCUAAAGAGCCAGACUCCCAACAUGACUACUUUCUCAAAAUCGAAGAGAGGGUAAAGGAACAGUACCAUUGCUGGAUAAUUGGAAAGUCCCUGUGUGUCAACCUUUGUGCUUCGUGGCAAGGUAGACUAGCAAACAUGCCCAACCUUUACUCACAUUCGAGACAACACUCCCAACAAGAUUGCUUGCUCCAAAAUCGAAGAGGCACCGCCCUCCGAAUCUCGAGAGCCAGACUCCCAACACAUGAUUACUUCCUCAAAAAUCGAAGAGACACUGCUCUCCGAAUCUCGAGAGUCAGACCCCCAGCAUGAUUGCUUUCUCAAAAAAUCGAAGAGGCAUUGUUCUCCGAAUCUCGAGAGCCAUAUACCACAGACCACUUUUUCAAAGUGCUCUGACAGAGUUAAAACAUGUGAAACUGGCAGCUCCCACUACUGUGCUAUGACCAAGCAGGGUAAAGGAAUAGCAUUACUACUUGUUGUUAGGGAGACUCCUAUAUAUGUCGACCUCCAUCCCCAACGGACAGGCAGACUUGCAAAAAUGCUCAACCCUUCAUCAUAUCUGAGAGGGCACUCCCAACGAAGCCUUUCGAAAUAUUCAGCUUUCUUUCCCCCCGAUAAUACCUCUGCAAACAAGUAUACUAGAGCAAGAAUAUCUCAUAUCAUCAGGGUUAAAAGCAAGAGUAUCCCAUAUCAUGCUUUUUCCCUGUCUUUUCUUUUGGCCUUGUUUUUACCUGCAAGACAAGGAGAAAGAGAGCAAUCAGUCAGCACUUGGAAUCAAGCUUCCAGCCAGGAACUGACUGCCUGGAACCCCUUACCUGAUUACUUACCUGGCAUUGCUCUCGAGUACUCAUCUUCAACAUCUUAUGUUUCCAGGGAAGAUUCCGCAUCUGCUUGAGGAACAGAUAGGGCAAGUGCGAAGGAUACAAGGAAGCAUGUGGAGACAAGCGUAACAGCACACGUGCCGAUACAUCCAUUACUCUGUCAAAAGCAAAAGUAUCCCAUAUCAGCAGGGUGGAACGUACUCUAGAUUUGAUGGACUUGUUUUGACCCUCAAAUUCUUCAGUCGGCCUUAUACUCUGGAGGAAACCAAAAAAACCCUCCAGCUCAGUUCAAGAAUAAGCCUGUGGAACGUUACUUCUUCAAAAGCAAAAGUAUCUCAUAUCAUCUCUUCUCAUUUUUCUUCUCUUUAUCCUUCAUGCUGCUGCAAGAUGGGGAGAAGGUGAACAAUCAGUCGGAGCUCUGAUUGCUUACCUUGUCUGUCACCUCUUUCAGCAGACCCCCUAGCUCGGCGACUUGGGGGACUCCUACUACAUGGUUUGUAUCGCGCUUGACCAAGCCUGAAAACUACAAGUAAGCUUCAAGUGAAAUUGAUACAUUUACCUUGUGCAUCUCCACCAGUUAAAGAUACCACCCCUGGAUGGAGGAAGAGUACUUCCAGAGAAGAUGCCACAUCUACCUAUGAGACAGAUAAGGCAAGUCAAGACGACACCACACUCCGAUACUUAGAAGUUUCGUGAUUACGAGAUCAUUCUCCCACAAUAUUUCCUAAUGUCAUUUGUACUAAAAUCAUUCACUUGUACUCACUAAAGGAGAGCUUGAACCUAUGUACUUGUGUAAACCCUUCACAAUUAAUGAGAACUCUUCUAUUCCGUGGACGUAGCCAAUCUGGGUGAACCACGUACAUCUUGUGUUUGUUUUCCUAUCUCUAUCCAUUUAUAUACUUAUCCACACUAAUGACCGGAGCAAUCUAGCGAAGAUCACAAAAAAGCGACCGUUUUUGCUACCUAGGAUCUAUCUUGCAAGAGAACGGAGAAUUAGAUGGAGAUCUCAACCAUAGAAUACGAGUUGGAUGGAAAGAGUGCAUCCGGCGUGUUGUGUGACCGUCGUAGGCCACUGAAGCUCAAGGGAAAAUUUUAUAGGACGGCAAUAAGGCCAGCGAUGUUGUAUGGCACAGAAUGUUGGGUGGUGAAGCAUCAACACGUACACAAAAUGGGUGUAGCGGAGAUGAGGAUGCUUCGUGGGAUGUGUGGGCACAUGAGAAAGGAUAAGAUUGGGAAUGAGGAUAUCCGAGGUAAAGUAGGAGUAGCCGAAAUUGUAGGAAAGAUGAGAGAAAAUCGGCUCCGGUGAUUUGGACAUGUGCAAAGAAGGCCGUCUGACGCUCCGGUUCGAAGAUGUGACUACGGGACAGAGGUUCAGGGCCGAAGGGGUAGAGGAAGACCUAGGAAAACUUUGGAAGAGACUCUAAGAAAAGACUUAGAGUACUUGGAUCUAACGGAGGACAUGACACAAAAUCGAGCGCAAUGGCGUUCUAGGAUUCAUAUAGCCGACCCCACUUAGUGGGAAAAGGCUUUGUUGUUGUUGUUGUUGUUGUUGUCCAGAUUGCUUUUUAUUUAUUUUUUUAUUUUUUAUUUUUUAUUUUUUAAGACGGGAGUAGGAUUAUCCUCAUCUAUUCUUAUCCCUUUCCCUCCUUUCCUUUCAUAUAUUAUUUUUUGUCAUAUUAUUUUUAUAAAAAAAUUAAUAUAAGAUAUUGACGUGAUUAUACCAUAACCGUUCAAAUAGAAGAGAAGAGAAAGAGAUUAAGAGGGAAGAGAAUCCUCCUCUUUCAAAAGGGCACCCACUGAGCACCCAUUGCAUUGUCUAAUCCCAUUAUUAAUGUCAAUGGCUUUUGAUAAAAUUAAUAUUUUUGCAAUUAAGUCCUCCAAGACAAACUUGCAAUCAAGUCCUACAAUUUCAAAGCGGACAAGGAUUGUCUGCCCUCCCUUUUUUCCAUGCCAUUCCAUGCCCUCCUGUUUAUGUGGUCACGGUUAAGUCACGUCAACAUUUUAUAUUACUAUUCAUUUUUAUCUUAUUAUCUUUAUAAAAAAAAUAAUAUAAAAUGUUAACAUGGCUUAACUGUGACCACACAAAACAGGAGGGCAUGGAAGGACAUGGAAAAUAGGAGGGCAGACAAUCCUUGUCCUUUCAAAGCAUACUUCCAUCCAUACCUGGGCAAAAUUAUAAAUUAAAAAUAAUAAAAACUUGAAAGAUAAUAUCACAUAAUCAUACUAAAUUUAAAAUAGUAUAAAAACAACUAAAACUAAUUAAAAUCUACCUUCAUAAGAACUUCAUAGUUCAUAUCUGAAUAAAUCACUUAAGAUCUGAUUGUUAAAUCAUCUUCUGCACUUCUUUCUUUCCAUCAAAAAAGUUAACAACGCAAAAAAACCACAAAUAAACAUCAUAAUUUACUUAAAAGAGCAGCGAAAAUUAAGUUUUUAGUCAGAAUGAAAAAAAAAAAGAAAAAUGAUUAUAGCGAAAACAGAAUAGUUAUGCCUAUCCGUGCAUCCUCCUCAAUGCCAAACCUUUUUGUACUCAACACUUUUCACUGUAGAACAACAAACUAUCGUAUGAAUUAACAAAUAAUUGCAUGCAGAGGAGACCCAAGCGAGAUUUGAAAACAUACAUUCAGAUCUUAGAAGAUAUGAACUCAAAGUGGGAAAAAACUCGGACCUGAUUUGAAAUUGAGGAAAAGGAAAGAGCUCUCACAAGUGGAGAGAGGAGCUCUCACAAACGGGAGAGAAAAACUCUCACCAACUCCUCUGCAAUCCAAAAUAAAACAAAGGGGAGAGAGAACUUUAUCUCUGAAGGAAAAACACAAGAGAAAGAGGAAAUCACGAAGAGAGAUGUGACAGUGAAAACAAAGAGAGAGAAGAAAGUAAAAGAAAGAGAGAGAGGGGGAAAAACAAAGGAGAAAAAGGAAAAUGAAGAGGGAGAGUUAGCUCAUUAGAUUUGGGCACAAUAUAAUAACAAUUAAAAAACUUAAUAAUUAUUAUUUUGACAUUAAAAGAAUCUAAUAAUUAUUAUUUGAGAACUUUAACGAAAAACUCAUGGUACUGUUCACUUUAACGAAAAACCACAUUUUUACACUAAAAAGUCAAUUUUGGUACUAUUCACUUUACUCUUUAUUUUGUCAUUUUCGUUAAAACUCAAAGUUUUCAAGCCAUUGUCAUUAGUUUUCCUUUAUUAUUUUGCAUGUAUAAAGCAAAAUAAUGAAUUUAUAGGUUAUAUAUUUGAAGAAUGACAUUAUCAUCGGUGUUGGAAAGCCUAAAGGACACCAAACAUACACAACGGUGCAAUCGACUCUUAAAAAGACACUGAUGGUGAAUGGUGUUCCCAAAACAGUGUCCUAUGUAUGGCCUGUUUUCUAGUAAUGUUUUUUGAAUAAAAUUUGUGAAUGGAUCACAAUGACAAUGUAAGAAUUCACUAUUGAUAAAAUACAAUACACUCUCUGUUUGUUCAAUAAAAUUCUGUGAAUGAUGACGAUGACAAUUGUGUACACAUAAAUCCAUUUCACCAAAGCUGAGACUUGGCAAGUAGAGAUUAUGAGCCCCGCUCUCAUCUUCCCCUCUUUCCUUCUUUCCCUCUUCUCAUUUGCAUCUUGUCUCUUUUCCCUUGCUCUUCUCUUCCCCUUGUAUUUUCUUCAUAUGUUUUAUCUGUUCCAUUUUCUUCUCUUUCUCAAAUCAAACAAAAUUGGUCAAACUAAGCUGAAUCUGAACCGAACUAGUUAUACCAUUUAAAUUUUAUCUUCCAUUUUUUAGGGUGAAGCAAAUCGAACCAAACCGUUAAUUAGUCAGUGUUUAAGCAUGUAUAUAGGGAAUCCAUUAUCGAACACAUCUGCUGACUUCAUGCUCUUUGUGAGCUCUAAAUUGUUUAGUUAGUAUAUAUGCAUUAAGAUAUAUUUUCGUAGUCACAUUAUUCAAACCACUGAAGUUGUAAUUCGUCUGAUUGGACUUCGUUUAAUGAAAUUUCUCUACCAUAUAUUGACAAAAAAAGAAAAAAGAAAUGCAUGUAUUAUGGCCGAGAGCUAAGUUAUACACACGACAGUGAAACAAAUAAUACUAUGUACCUAGUCCUCUCCAUUGCAGUAGAUCUUUUUUCAUGUACCCGGAACACGAGCUUGUACAUUACGUGUCAUAAGAGUGUUGAAUCCCACAUCGACCAAGUAAAAGAAAAGUAAAUAGUUUAAAUAUCUUAACCACACCCUAACUAACACCGAUGCCAUUUGUGAUAAAACCUCAUACCUGACGAAUUAGGCAGGUGGUAAUUACCAAGUUGGGCAUUGAGGUAUUUUGUGAUAAAACCCCACACCUGACGGAUUGUGCAAGUAGUAAUUACCAAGUUGGGGACAGUAUCAGUGUUGUUGUAAGUGGGUCUUUGGCCUGUCUCGUCUUUCUAAUAAUUCUACAUGGUAUCAGAGUCAGAGAGCGGACCCGUACUAUACUGCCACAUGAUGGAUGGGUCUCAUUGGCCCCACGCGAUGAUGGAUGGGUCCCAUUGUCCCCGCGUGUAAGGUGAGUCCCCUUAGCUUCACGUGGUUGUUGAUGUGUGGAUCUCCCACGUGUGACCCACUAAUUAGGUCCCACGUGAAGGGACAUGUUGAAUCCCAUAUCGACCAAGUAAAAGAAAAGUAAAUAGUUUAAACAUCCUAACCUCACUUUAACUAACACCGAGGCCUUUUGUGAUAAAACCUCAUAUCUGACGGAUUGUGCAUGUGGUAAUUGCCAAGUUGGGAACAAUAUCGGUAUUGUUGAAAGUGGACUCUGAGCUCGUCUCUCUGAUAAUUCUAAAUGAUAUCAAAGCUAGGAAUCGGGCCCCGUAUUGCCCAUGAUGAGUGGGUCCCCUUGGCCCCGCGUGCUAAGGGUGGGUCACUUGGCCCCGCGUGUAGGGUGAGUCCCCUUGGCUGCACGUGGUUGCCAAUGUGUAGACCUCUCACGUGCGACCCACUAAUUGAGUCCCACGUGAGGGGGCAUGUUAAGUCCCACAUCAGCUAUACAAAAAGAGAAAUUAUAGUUUAAAUAUCCUAACCAUACUCCAAUUAAUACCAAUGCCUUUUAUGAUAAAAUCUCACACCUGACGGUUUUGGCAGGUAGUAAUUACCAAGUUGGGGACAAUUAGUGUUAUUGGAAGUAGACAUUCGGGCAAUCUUUUUGAUAAUUAUACAUGGUAUCAAAGUUAGGGAGCGGGUCUGUACGUACUACCACGUGAUGGGUGGGUCCCUUUGGCCCCAUGGAUAAUGGUGGGUCCCUUGGCCCCGCGUGUAGGGUGAGUCCAUUUAGCUCCACAUAGUUGCCGAUGUGUGGAUCUCUCACGUGUGACCAAGGAAGAAAAUAUCAGUAAUAUCGGAAAUAUCGGUAGUCCGAAAACACGGAAAUAUCGAUGGAAAUAUCGGGAUAAUAUCGAUAUCGAUAAAAAUUACAUGGAAAUCACGGAAAUUGUAAGAAAAACUUGGAAAUUUUUAUUGAAACUUUGCAGGAUGUUUAUUUAGUCAAUUAUCUAUUAGUUUAUCACAAAAAAUUGGAAGGAAAUGCAUUGCAUGAUGGAUUUAACAUUAUCAAGUUGAUUAUAUAGCGAGCUGACAAACAUUGUGAGUGUAGAAAAUAUGUAGUAAUUAAUGAAAGAGGUCUAAACACACCAUAAUCAUUUAUAUAUAAUGAAUUAGUACAAUAUUUUACACUUUAUACAUUGCAUUUUUGGUUCUUCUCCGACAGAAUUUGGUCUUCACGUGGAAAAGAAGAUAAAGUAAGCAGAUUUUUUGGUUCUUCUCUGACAGAAUAUUUGGUUCUUCUGUGCAAAGUCACUUCCAAUUCUUUCAUACAAAACCGUGUGCCACACACACACACCCUCAAAGUUUUUUUCUUUUUCUCUCGGAUAACACACACACACACAUAACCAUACACACACACACACACACACACAUAACCAUACACACACAUAACCAUACACACACACACACACACACAUAACCAUACACACACACACACACACACACACACACACACACACAAAAAACCAUGGUUUUAUACAAAACCGUGUGCCACACACACACACACACACACCCUCAAUCCUUCCUUCUCUCUCGAAUCGUCUCGAUCCUUCCUUCUCUCUCUUCUCUCUCUGAGUCUUCUCCAUUCCUGUAAUUGUUCUCAGUCUUCUCCCUUCCCCCUUCUCCAGUUCUUCCACACACACACAGACAUCAUCUCUCGAAUCUCGAUCCAUCUCUCGAUCCUCCUCGUCCGCGUCUCCCUCUGCUCCUCCCAUCUCACCCGCCCUAAACCCAGCCGUCGACACCACUCCAUAACCGCCUUCUAAACCACCUUGUUCCAUGGAGAAGCCGUGUCGUUAGUCCCAAUCGUCGAGUCGUAACUGUCGCGUCAUCGCAAAUCAACGGUUGUGGAGAAACUGAGUGGAGGCAGCGGACACCGGACGAUGGACCGGAAUUCAUCGUAGUCGUCGGUGAGGAGCACGACGUUGUCCCAGCCGUCUUGGAUUCGUGAGGAAAACGACGUUCCCAGGCUCCUACUACCAUAUUCUUCUCGGCUUGUAAUUUAAUUUUUGUACAGAUUUCGAAUUUUCUGCAUGUUGCACCAUUUUUGUACUGAAUUCGAUUUUAGGGAUUUAGGAAUUAGGGAUUCAGUUCAUUUGCUUUGAAUUUGAAUUUGGGGAUUUAGGGAUUCAGUUCAUUUGCUUUGAAAUCGAAUUUGGGGAUUUAGGGAUUCGGUUAAUUUGCUCCGGCGUUCUUCUCCGAUUUGAACAGUACCAAAAUAUCGCGAUAGUUUAAAAAAUAUUGCGAUAUUAUCGAUAUUAUCGAUAAUAUCGCGAUAUUUUGACGAAAACAAUUUGGAUAGUUAAAAAAAUAUCGGACCCCCAAAAAAACGAUAAUAUCGGCGAAAUAUCGCUGAUAUUAUCGAUAUUUUCUUCACUGCGUGUGACCCACUAAUUGGGUCCCACAAUAGGGCAUGUUGAAAUCCCAUAUCGGCUAGAGAACUAAAGAAAGAAGAGUUUAAAUAUCAUAACCCCACUCCAACUAAUACCGAGGUUUUUUGUGAUAAAACCCACACCUGACGGAUUGUGUAGGUGGUAAUUACCAAGUUGGGGAUAGUAUCAGUGUUGUUGAAAGUGGGUAUUUGGCCCGUUUAUCUGAUAAUUCUACAAAGAGGACAUAUAUUUUUUAGUGUCCCUUGGUAAAGAUUGUCGUAGUAUUUAUAAUAAAGUUACUUGUAUUAUGACAUAUGAUGUAUAUAUUUAUAUUCCGUAUACACAAAAAUCUCUCUCAAGUUGGGGAUACUUGUGAAUAGCAUGUAUCACAUGACAAUGUCGGGUCACUAUUAGGAAUGCAGUACACCUCGCAUGUGCUAUUUUGUACAUAUGCGACCAAAUCUGGAAAAUGUCAGCGAAGCAAUUUACCAGGGACCAAUAAACAACGAUGCGAUGCAUUUGGGAACUCGAGGUGUGUGUGUUACGUUACGUACACGGAGGGCUAACUGUAUGACGGGUCCAACAAAUCUUACAAUGCGAUGCAUUUGCGAACUCGAGGUGUGUGUGUUACGUUACGUACACGGAGGGCUAACUGUAUGACGGGUCCAACAAAUCUUACAACAGCAUGAUAUCUCGGGUCCUAAUAAGUGAGAGAUUUUUUUAUAGGGAAUUUUAACGAAAAACUCUUAGUAUUGUUUAUUUUAACGAAAAAUUACAUUUUUACACUAAAAAGUCAAUCCUGAUACCAUUAACUUUACCCUUUAUUUUGUACUUAUCGUUAAAACUCAAAGUUUUCAAGUUUUUUUAUUAAUUUUCCUUUUUUUAUAUGCUUGAAAUAUGGGGCAAACACAACAUUUUUUUAUACAAUUGGAGGGAUACACUAAAAAAAAAAAUCCAAAUUGUUCACACCUUUUUUAUAUUUUUGGUUGUGAGGAAUGCCAUCAAGCCCAAUCAACAAAAUUAAUUAGUUUCGGUAUAGUAUCUGCUUUUGUUUAGGUUGUAAACACUUAUGAGACCAUUUCUAACCAUUGGGCUAAAACCUAACAUUUUUAACCCAGAAAAUUUAGGUUUUAGCCCAUAAACAGUUUUUCUGCCUCAAUCUUUCUGACCUAAAAUUUUAGCCCCAGAUUGUAAGAAUAUUUUAAUAUUCUAAAGUGGUCCAUAUGACACGGUCCAUAUGAUAUGUAGGGUUUAACGGAGAUUAUCAUUUGUAAAUAAUCCUAUUGGUCAAAUUAUGAGAAAUGUUUCCUAUCAAAUUACUGUGAUGGGUGGUAAUUGAUUAUGGACUUUAAAUGGAAACGAGUCCUCUCUCUGCCUCACUUAUAUAUAUAUAUAUAUAUAUAUAUAUAUAUAUAUUGCAUAUACCCAUCUAAUAUGCACUUGAUAGAAAAACACGAUUAGGGUUUUCACGUGCAAAUAGAGGCAAGAGAGAGAACACCUAUUUCCUCCGCCGUUGACAGAAUCCGUUUGGGAUCUCAUAGCGUUCGUUGUCAUGGAUCAAGGUACGCUUGGUUGUUUAAUGUAUUUCCGGAAAUUAUUUGUAUGUGAAAAUCAUGAAGUUCGAUGAUCUUGGCUUAAUUGUUUUAAGAUUUACAUGUGGUAUCAGAGCCUGGUUGAGAGCUCUCAUGAUUUUCCAAUUACGAUUAUGAACUUUAACUGAAUCGACUUGAUUAGGGUUUUGUUUCGAAAUAAAUUAUGAUCCGCUGUGCUAUUUUGAAAUAACCUAAUCGCUGUUUUGAAUUGUGAAUGUUCUUUAUAUAUUGUAAAUUGCACUCGGCAAGAAUAUUUUUAAUUAUGAUGUUGCUGCUUACUGUCAGCAUAAUUUUUUAAAUCUGCAAGAACGGAAUCGGUGGUUAAUUAGGGUGCAAUGUCUGCUGUUUUGAGACAGACAUGAUUGUAUUUUAUUUGCAUGUAUUGAUUAUGCAUGUUGGGAUUAAGAAAUUGUAAUCUUAGUUUUAUUACAAUUUUUGCCGAAUUGCAUAUUUGGGUAUGGAAAUUAUGAUGCAAUUUGGGCGAUUCUUUUAGUUGGAAUUAGUUAAAGUAAUUUGAAUACCUAUGACUGAUCAUUACGAUUAUAAACGUCAUUCAUUUAAUUUGUAAUUCGUCUUACGAAAUUAUUUGCAAGUCACCAAAGUGGCCAAACUAGAAAGAUUACAUGGAUUCAAAUUAAAUGAUGAUUAAUCAAUUACUCAUGGUAGGAUGAUGCAUAUGAACGAACAAAACCUUAUUAUGUUUUAAAGGUUUGUACAUGAGUAAUAUGUUUUUCAUUUGUCAUAAGUUCUUAAGGGUCACCCAAAGGUAGACUAAUUGCUCAUAUGAUUGAUGAUAUGAAUGUGUUGAGAAUUGUAUAUUUCAUUUUUAUUUGUUCGGAUAUCCAAAGAUAAUGAAACCUGUCUUAUUAGAGAUGUACAAUUAUCAAUAAGGUAUUAUGCAUCGAUUAUUGUUUGUAUUGUUGUAGUAUCUACCCAAAGGAGAAUAUGAUAAUACACUUAUUGUUAUUACACGUGUUUUUUUUUAUUACUCAAAGCAGUAAUGUUGUGAGCACUUUUGAAUUGCAGUGUCGGUGCCUGUUUCUCUUCAUUCACUUGCUCCAUCUAUUCCCUCACUUAAUGGAACAAAUUUCUCAGAUUGGAGUGAGCAAGUUCAGUUUCACCUUGGUGUCCUGGAUCUUGAUUUAGCACUCCGAACUGACAAACCUGCUGCUCUUACGAAUACAAGCAGCACUGAGGAAAAAUCUCUCUAUAAUGCCUGGGAGAGAUCGAAUAGAUUGAGCAUGAUGUUUAUGCGAAUGACUAUAAUGAGCAACAUAAAGACUGGCCUUCCUCAAGCUGAAACUGCUAAGGAAUACUUGAAAAAUAUUGAGACUCGUUUCAAGACUGCUGACAAGUCUCUUGCUGGGACAUUAAUGGCUGAGCUUACCACCAAGAAAUUUGAUAGUAUGCGAAGCAUGCAUGAGCAUGUCCUUGAAAUGACUAAUAUAGCAGCAAAGCUAAAGACUCUUGGAAUGAAUGUGGAUGACUCAUUUCUUGUUCAAUUUAUUUUGAACUCCUUGCCUCCUCAGUAUGGGCCAUUUCAAAUCAACUAUAAUGCUAUUAAGGACAAAUGGAAUGUUGAUGAAUUGGCCACAAAACUCGUUCAAGAGGAGGGAAGGCUUAAGCAGCAAGGAGAACAUUCCGUUCAUUUAGUAAGUCAAGGAGCUGAAAGAAAAUUUGGAAGAAAGCCUGGAAAGGGCAAGAAAAGAGGAUCACCCAAGGUGAAUGGACCUGCUAAUGCUACUCAGGCUCAUGAUAAGGAACAUAAAAGUGAUUUUAUGUCGCUUCUGUAGGAAGCCUGGGAAUUAUCAAAAGAAUUGCCAGAAAUUCAAGGAAUGGUUCGAAAAGAAAGGUGAGCCUUUGGCUUAUGUAAGUUUCGAAUCAUAUUUAACUGAAGUUCCUUAUAAUACUUGGUGGGUUGACUCUGGUGCUACAGCUCAUAUUUCUAAUUCGAUGCAGGGAUUCCUUACGACCCACACUUUAAAUCCAAAUGAAAAUUUCAUUUUCAUGGGGAAUCGAGUCAAAGCUCCAGUUGAAGCUGUUGGAACUUUUCGUUUAAUUUUGGAUACUGGAUAUUGUUUGGAUUUAUUUCAGACACUUUAUGUUCCUAGUUGUUCCAGAAAUUUGGUUUCAGUCUCGAAGCUUGACCGUAAUGGAUUUUUUAUAAAGUUUGGUAAUGAAUGUUUCAGUUUAUAUAAGAAUACCUCUUUUGUUGGUUCUGGUAUUCUAAUAGGUGAGCUGCAUAAUUUAAAACUCAAUAAUCGUUUUGCUGAAACACUUUUGACCUUGCAUCAUAAUGUUGGAACUAAGCGUAGCCUAAACAAUGAAAAUUCUUCAUUCUUGUGGCAUAAACGACUGGGUCAUAUAUCCAGAGAAAGGUUAGAAAGAUUAGUAAAGAAUGAGAUUCUUCCAAACCUAGAUUUUACUGAUCUCGGUGUGUGCGUGGAUUGUAUUAAGGGCAAACAAACCAAACACACCAAGAAAGGAGCUACAAGAAGUUCAGAGCUUCUUGAAAUAAUUCAUACAGACAUAUGUGGACCUUUUGAUGCUCCAUCUUUUAGCGGAGAAAAAUAUUUUAUCACCUUUAUAGACAAUUUUUCACGUUACGGCUAUAUUUAUCUGUUGAAAGAAAAGUCUGAAUCAGUGAAUUCCUUUCAGGUGUUCAUUAUUGAAGUUGAAAGACAAUUAGAUAAAAAGGUUAAGAUUGUCAGGUCGGAUAGAGGUGGUGAAUUUUAUGGAAAAUAUGAUGAAUCAGGACAAUGUCCUGGUCCUUUUGCAAAACUCCUUGAAAAGCAUGGCAUAUGUGCCUAAUACACUAUGCCAGGUACGCCACAGCAGAAUGGUGUUGCUGAAAUGCGUAAUCGUACUCUUAUGGACAUGGUUAGGAGUAUGUUAAGUAAUGCAUAUUUGCCUAUAUCAUUAUGGAUGUAUGCUCUUAGGACUGCUGUAUACUUAUUAAACCGGGUUCCUAGUAAGGCAGUUCCGAAAACACCAUUUGAAUUGUGGACAGGAAGGAAACCUAGUUUAAGGCACUUGCAUGUUUGGGGAUGCCCAGCAGAAAUAAGAAUUUAUAAUCCGCAUGAAAAUAAGUUGGAUUUUAGAACGAUUAGUGGUAACUUUAUUGGUUACCCAGAAAAAUCCAAAGGAUAUAGGUUUUACUGUCCUAAUCAUAGUACGAGAAUUGUUGAAACUGGCAAUGCCAGAUUCAUUGAAAGUGGUGAAAUUAGUGGGAGCGAAAAACCUAAAGAAUUGGUCAUUAAUGAAGUUAGGGUGCAGAUUCCUACACCUAUAAUUUCUAAGCAAGUUGUUGUUCCUAUACAUGUUGAACCGUUAGACAAUGUUGAACAACAAAUUAAUGACCAUCCGCUCCAGAAUGAGAUUAUCACAAAUGAAAAUGUAGUGGAAGAACCACAAGAAAUAACAUUAAGGAGAUCUUAAAGAGAACGGAAAAGUGCUAUUUCAGAUGGUUAUGUGGUAUAUUUACAAGAGUCUGAUGUUGAUAUAGGAAUAAAUAAAGAUCCGGUUUCGUUUUCACAGUCGUUAACUGUAUUGAUUCUAGUAAAUGGAUUGAUGCCAUGAAUGAUGAGUUAAAAUCAAUGGACAAAAAUGAAGUCUGGGAUCUCGUUGAAUUGCCUAAAGGUUGUAAGAGAGUUGGGUGUAAGUGGGGUUUUAAGACCAAACGCGACUCUAAUGGCAAUAUAGAAUGAUAUAAAGCCAGAUUGGUGGCCAAAGGUUUUACUUAGAAAGAAGGCGUUGAUUACAAAGAGACUUUCUCACCAGUUUCAAAGAAAGACUCUUUUAGAAUCAUUAUGGCAUUAGUAGCUCAUUAUGAUUUAGAGUUACAUCAAAUGGAUGUGAAAACGGCAUUCUUGAAUGGGAGUUUGGAAGAAGAAGUCUACAUGGAUCAACCUGAAGGCUUCGCAUUAAAGGGAAAGGAACACAUGGUCUGUAAACUAAAGAAGUCAAUAUACGAACUUAAACAAGCUUCACGACAAUGGUAUCUUAAGUUUGAUAAUAUCAUUGUAUCCUUCGGUUUUAAAGCAAACAUCGCUGAUCGAUGUACAUAUCUGAAGGUCAGUGGGAGCAAGUUUAUCUUUCUAAUUAUGUAUGUUGAUGACAUUUUGCUUGCUAGUAGUGAUCUUGGUCUAUUACAUGAGACCAAACAGUUUCUCUCGGAGAAUUUUAAAUGAAAGAUAUGGGUGAGGUGGCCUAUGUGAUAGGAAUUGAAAUAUUCCGAGAUAGAUCACAUGGAGUGUUAGGCUUGUCUUAAAAAGCAUAUAUUGAGAGAGUUCUAGAGAGAUUCGGUAUGGAAAAAUGUUCAUCCAGUGUUGCUUCAAUUCAGAAAGGGGAUAAGUUUAGCCUUAUGUAAUGCCCACAAAAUGAAUUGGAGCGUGCACAAAUGGAAAGUAUUCCUUAUGCAUCUAUUGUAGGAAGUCUGAUGUAUGCACAAACUUGUACCAGACCAGACAUCAGUUUUGCAGUUGGGAUGUUAGGCAGAUACCAAAGUAACCCAGGAAUGGAUCACUGGAAAGCUGCAAAGAAAGUGAUGCGGUAUUUGCAAGGAACGAAAGACUAUAUGCUCACGUAUAGAAAAUCUAAUAACCUAGAAGUUAUUGGUUAUUCAGAUUCAGAUUUUGCUAGAUGCAUUGAUAGCAGAAGAUCAACUCUUGGUUACUUGUUUCUCUUAGCUGGAGGAGCAAUUUCCUGGAAGAGUACAAAGCAAGAUGCUAUUGCUAUAUCCACCAUGGAAGCUGAAUUUAUAGCAUGCUUUGAGGCUACAAAUCAUGGAUUAUGGUUACAGAAUUUUAUCUCAAGGCUUGGCGUUAUUGAUUUCAUUGCUAAGCCGUUGAGAAUUUUCUGUGACAAUGCUGCCGCUGUCUUCUUCUCCAAGAAUGACAAGUAUUCUAAUGGUGCUAAACACAUGGAUAUAAAAUACUUGACUCUUAAGGAGGAGGUUCAGAAACAAAUAGUGUCUAUUGAGCACAUAAGCACAAUGCUUAUGAUCGCAGAUCCCUUGACAAAGAGACUGGGGCCGAAGGCAUUUAAUGAUCAUGUUGAAAGAAUGGGUCUUGGUUGUAGUCCAUGAUGAUUGUCAUUUUUUUUUUAAUUUUGUGAAGGGAAAAUUAUGAGUUUUCACAUAUAGGGAUUUCAAAAAGACUAUCAUGCAUAUACAAAUCAAAUUUAAUAUACGAAAGCAGCGGAAGCAUUUAUAACAAAUUAUCAAAGCUAUAGUCAUGCAAAUCCCCUUCAAUGUUCAUAGGUUUAUAUAUAAUGCAUCAGAGCAAUUUUAGAGAAGAACAAAGUGAAGGUUUAGUCUAAUACCUCUUGAUCUAGACUUGAGACCAUGGAUGGACCACCUCCAAGCCCUUUGUUCCUUGAACUCCUUGAGCCUAGCUUUCCUCCUUGCCUCCUCCACUUUGUUAGAAUGAGUGCUCCUAGGUUCUCUUCAAGUUUCCAAAGUAGGAAACCUCUAAAGAUCCUCACCCACUAGUGUAGUGAGAAGGAUGAAGGAAUAACCAAAAGGGUGAAAGAUGUGUUAGUAAAAACACCCCUAAGGUGGCCGCCCUUUGUAGUGUUAGAGAGCUAUUUUUCUUUUGCCUCUUUGUUGUUUUAACACUUCAAAAACCCUAAUGAACAAUAUCUCUAUAAAGUUCCUUAUAUAGACAAAAGGAAACCUAGUCAACCACUUGACUAAAUAUCUCUCCAUUUCCACUUAAAGUGGCCGGCCUCUUGUGUUGGAUUUGGGCUUUUGGGCUUUUAUAUAUUUCAAGUCAUCCAAUGCUUGAAUAAAAGUCCAAUGGGCCCAAUUAAACCCGAACGUUUCUUUAAGCCCAAAACGAUCUUUAUCGCUUUUAUGAUUUCUUUAGACUUUCUAAAUUAAUCACAACACUUAAUUAAUCCAAUUAAUUAUUUCCAUCAUCCAUUAGUUACUCACUACAAUAGUGUAUUGGUGAACAAUCUUGUAGGUUCUAAUUAGCAAGGCAGUGAGGUGAUUGGCACCAAUCCAAUUGAUUAUAUUUAAUCCAAUCACUUAGUGAAUUAAAACAUACUUUUAAUUCACCUUCUUCUUUGACGACUACAUUUAAUCAUUUAGAAGAACUCACAAGCCAUGAGUGACAUCUAACCAUAUAUCAUGGCUACCCAAGCUAAUGUAGAAGUUUGUUCGGAGAACCUAUUCAGUUGGAAUUACAAUGUAAUUCGAUCCUUCUCUAAAACAAUACUCUCAAUCACAUUACUUGGGUAUGGAAAUAUUAUGUCAAACCCCUAAUGUGAUUAUUCCUUCUUAUAUGAUUCUUUUGAGUCGUAUAGGAACGCUUUCCUUUAUUACGCUCGAUACUUCGGCCAAAGAUUCCCGAAUCAUAUCUUAGAGUAUUCUUCCUCUCUUAUCGAGGAUUAGAGAUUCCUUGUUGCGCAUACACUUGCCUUCAUGACUAAGUGGCUUAACCCCAAUUAUGCCGUGGACACCCGUGAAUGGGGAGACUUUGACAUAAUCAAAGAUUAAGUACUUAACCACAAGACAACGACGAUGCCUCAAGUCAAAGGACUACUUACAUUAUUCCAACCAUUAGAGUUACUUGCUUGACAUGUGAGUAGACCUCCAUGCAAGUACUCUCGUUCGAUUGUGUUCAGUGAACUCAUUCCCUUAAUGAGCACCUACAUACUUGUCUUAGUGUCACAACACGAAUGGGAUGAGACUUUCCAUCCUUCCAUUUGAAGCAGACACAAUAUGUACCGGUCUAAGCAUUGUCAGUAUCCCUCCGACAAUCCAAUGACCAGGAACAUUUUUGGACAUUUGGUUAUAUGAAGAAGGUCUCUGUAGUCUAACAUCAUUAGAUUACUUCUUCAAUUGAUCCAUUGUCCAUGGAUACACUAUUUAGGACAUAUAUCGUUUAUUGAGAUAGUCCUAAUUAGUAUCUUUGCCAUUUGAUGUAUAAGAUUCAUCUAUACAUCGAUUUAUUUGUCCUGAAAGGUUUCUUCCAAAGAUUGACUUUCAAGGCAUAUUUCCAACAUUUUGUUUAUGAGAAUUUGUUUAAUGACAGUAUUGUGCUUGACACUCUGAGCUCGAUAAUUGAACAUGUUUCUGGUAUUUCCUGUUUUCCAUUAUAUGUAUACAUUUAUGAGAUCGGAUGAAUGAUAACAGGAAUGUCUCUGACAAAGACAUUAUCGGACCUAUAUAUGUAUUUCUCACUAACAGACUGUUUUAGGUAAUUGCUAGUGUUGUGGUGCAUGGAAGGGACUACGUCGCUCGUUGAUGUACAACCGCCAUGACUCACACUAGUGAAUUGCUUAAGAUCAAUAAUUAUGUUAACCAAUUGAUAGUAAGGAUUAUUUUGAACUUUACUGCGCGCUUAAUGUUUAUUUUUUAAACCUGAAAAGGAACAUGUGUCACUAUGGACCAAGUGGGAGAAUGUAAGAAUAUUUUAAUAUUCUAAAGUAGUCCAUAUGACACGGUCCAUAUGAUAUGUAGGGUUUAAUGGAUAUUAUCAUUUGUAAAUAAUCAUAUUGGUCAAAUUAUGAGAAAUGUUUCCUAUCAAAUUAUUGUGAUGGGUGGUAAUUGAUUAUGGGCUUUAAAUGGAAACGGGUCCUCUCUUUGCUUCACUUAUAUACAUUGCAUAUACCCAUCUAAUAUGCACUUGAUAGAAAAACACAAUUAGGGUUUUCACGUGCAAAUAGAGGCAAGAGAGAGAACACAUAUUUCCUCCGCCGUUGACAGAAUCCGUUUGGGAUCUCAUAGCGUUCAUUGUCAUGGAUCAAGGUACGCUUGGUUGUUUAAUGUAUUUCCGGAAAUUAUUUGUAUGUGAAAAUCAUGAAGUUCGAUAAUCUUGGCUUAAUUGUUUUAAGAUUUACACAGAUUAUUAAAGAAUAAAUUUAGGCUAAUUUUUUUUUCUUAAAGUAACUUUUUUUAAAGAAAAAAAAUUAUGUAGACUAUCAUGAUUUAAUUUUAUGAACGUUUUAACCUAAAAAUAUUUAUAUUCUGACAAAUAUUGAAAAAUCACAAACCGACACCAUGAAACUAGUUCAUCACUAUGAAAAAAACAUGAAAUACAUAAAAGAUUUUUUUUUAAUUACUUUAGCCGUUAUAUUUAAAUUUGGACCGUUAAAAUUUUUUUUUACCGUUGAAUUUCAUCAAAUUAGAUCUUAACAGUUAGAUUCAAUGAAUUUAUAAAUAUAAAACUAAAUAAAAUACACAUAUAUAGUGGGUCAGCCCUACUAAUCCUGGGCUAAAUCAGACUUUUUUUUUAGGUUUUAGCUUUUAGCCCACACAUUUAGCAUGGGUUGGGUUGGGUUGGGUUUGAAAGAAAUAAAACUUAAAAAAUAGCAUUUAGCCCAGGAUUAGGUUUAAUCUAAGUGCUGGAUUAAUGUCCCAGCGUCCUAUCCGGAUUGACCCAUUUCAAUAUAUUAAAAACGUGAGAAAGUGGUUGACAAGUGUACAAAUAAUAUAUGCGUUUGGUAUGUGAAUUUUGUGUGGUUUAUGUGUAUCAGCGUAUUUGGUUGAAUACGAUUUAUGUAAUACUAAUAAUAUUGUGAGUUUUUAAUUGACCUAAACCAGAACUUCUUAUUAAUACUAUAACUUUAGUCCAUAAAAUAUCAACCACAUCCUUCACUAAAAAAAUCUGACAACGUGAAAAACAUAUUUGAAUGUGUUUAUUCAUAAAUCUUAUCACGGUCUAUCACAAAUAGGGUCGAUAUUAUUUCAAUUUAACCAUUUAUUAUUAGAUGUUGGAUUUUAUCACAAAAGUCUUCAAUGAUAUUUGCUGUAAAAAUUCUCUUAUUAAUACAUUAUUUUGUCAUACCUCCGAUGCGCAACUCAAUUCUCUAACAUUUAUCGGUUUAAGUAAAUCUCCAAACAACUUUCACAACUAGAUGGAAUGCAUAACAAUAAAAUAGAGGCCAUUUUCUAAGGGAUUAGGACUCUCUCCCCUUUCCCCUCCUAUUUGAACAACCACAAUUAAGUUAGGUCAACAUCUUGUGUUGCUUUCUUUAUAAAGAGAGAAAUACAAUGAAAAUGUAAGAGAAGAGGAGGAAAAUGGAUGAAAAUUGGAGGGGGAGAGAUUCCAAGAUAGUUAGCUCAUCUGUUUUCACUCACAAAACUUAAAGGUGAUGUUUUCUUGCCUAGUUGUAUCUCUUUGUUUGUAGGCUUUUGUUUUCUGUGAUCCAGAUAAAUUAAUUUCUCUUUUGACACAGUCACACUAGGGGAUUUCCAUUUACAAUAUUGAUCAUGUUGUUGACACACUCUCAAAUAGAUGUGAAAUGUGAGACAUCCUGUCUAAACUAUAGCUUGACACCAAUUUUGAGUGUUUAAAUGACGUUUCUUUUUCUUCUUUUGUGUAAUUAUAAAUUCCAAUAUCUGAUUUUUGUCUAAUUUACCGUAAAUAUUUGGUAGAUCUCUUGUCUCUUUUCCCUUGCUCUUCUCUUCCCCUUUUCUUUUUCUUUUUUUCAUAUGUUUUAUCUGUUCCCUUCUUAUCUCUUCACCAAAUAGGACAAAAUUGAUCAAAGUAAGCUGAAUUUGAACCGAACUAGUUAACUUUUUAUUUUAAUUUUCAAUUUUUUGGGAUGGAAGUAAAUCAAACCAAAGCGUUCUCACCCAUACUUAGUCAGUGCUAAGCAUGUUUAUCAGGAAUUGAACACAUCUGCUGACUUCAUGCUCCUUGUGAGCUCUAAGUUGUUUAUUUAGUAUUUUACAACUGAUAAAUUUUCGUAGUCACAUUUUUCAAACCAUCGAAAGUUUGUGUUAGUAUGCUUGGAAAUUUAAUAAUAAUAUUAUUAUAUUAAAUUUAUUAAUUGAAUGGAAAUUAGAAGUGGAGACCUUUGGUAGAAAAAUGUGUCUAUUCAAAUGAAGAAUUGCAACUUUUGACUCUUCAUGAAUAGUCAUGUUUUCCAAAGAAGUAUCUCAAAAUCUAUAAAUAGGAAAGUCUCUAUAAACAUAAAUAAUUUUCAUUGUUUACAUAAUCAUAUAUAGAGUGCACUAAAUAUUAAAGAGACUCAUUUAGUCCAUAUGACAUGCCCCGAUCCCGAUAUCCCCAAAUACCAGGAUAUGCACGUGCUGACCGAUACCCCGAUGGUGAUGAAGCCAUUUUUAACAUGCAUGCAAGUUAUAAAGAAGAAACAAACAUAAGUAAAUAAGUGAAUUUAAAUAUAUGAAAAUGUGUGGAUGCGGGAACGUGUUCAGAGCAUAUAUCUAAUCAAGAAUAGUGAGAAAGGAAUUUAAGAAAUAAAUGUGAUUACAAAGAAAGUGGGUCCUACCUCGAGGGGACUCGAAGAUACCAAUGCGGGAGUGCCUUGACGUCGUGAUCGUACGCCUCAAUCCUAAGUCCUGAAAAGGGCUCAAAACAAAACAUGAGUGGACUAAAGUUGUUAAUAAUAAUAAUAAUAAAUUUAUUUCUUUUUGAACAUACUAACCCCCUGUUCUGAAAACACCAUAUAAAUACUACAUAGUAGGGUUUUCUGAAACUCUAAUAUGCCAUAAAACCAUCGUAGACCAUGUAUGUAUAAAACAAUGUUGAAUAAUGGUUAUAUAGUCACCCGAAGGCAAAUCUGUAAAAGCUCGUAAAUCAUAUAACUAUGUACUCAAUUAGGGGUAUCAUAGUCUGUAAUACCUUGAAAAAUUUAAGUAUAUGAAUUUGAUAUUCAUAAUUAUGAAUAUGUGGGGAAAAAUAGAAAUUAAAUCUAUUUAUGGUUAUGGAAAUUUAAUUGGGAGAUUUUAAAAUUUUGUUACCAGAAAUUAUUAUAAUUUAUGUUGUAAAAAUUUAUCGAUAAGGGAAAAAGAUGAAAAUGCACUAGUUGGUUUAACGUAAUUAUACGAGGACGUAUUUUAUCCUCGUAUAUAUUUUAUUGUAUUUCUUGAUAUAUUUGGAUAGAGCUCGACCCUACGAAAACGUAAGCAAAAAUCGUUUGUGAAUUGAAGUUGAAACGAAGAUAUUAGAGGUUUUUUUUUUUUUUUUUUUUUAAAAAAAAAAAAAAAAAGGAGUCUGGAAGUUGCUAGAGGGCAAAUGAGGGGGAAAACCCGGUUCCCCUUGACUUGCCCGACUCGACUGAGUACCACAACCAAAUUUGAUCCUUUAUCUGGGCAAUUUCUGGUGAAUUGCGUUGAUUCACUACCUGAAAAUUUAUCCUCGGCCUCUCAUCUCCCCGUUACACCAUAAAUCCUAGUUAAUUAGAUCUUGAUUUGGAAAAAAAUAGCACCAUGGGUGUGUCGAGUGCUCGGCUCGGAAUCACCAAAAUCUGAAGCUAACUCUCUCCACCACCACCACCAAUCAACUCCGCACAACCUCAGGAACAAAGCCCAAGUAAUGGUGGAGGCAUUGGAGCGAAUAUGGAGGUGGAAUCGAAGCACACCCAAUUCUAGGGUUCAGGCGGUUCAUGGGCGAUUUCUCGGCCCAGGUAUAAAAAUUACUCCCCUAAUUGAGAUCUACAUGCCUGUAAAAUUUGGUAAUUUUUGGAAAUAGUUGAAUUUUCCGACGAGUCAGGACGGCCGGCCUCCGUGUGCGGCAACGCGUGGGCCAAGACCCUACCUGCUCUUCCUAGAUUAAUUUGGAUACCCUGAUUCCAUAUGUGGCGUUCGAUUUAUGAAAUCUCGUCGUAUGACUAUGAUUUUGAUAAAAACCGCCACUUAAAUUUGCAAUUAGCGGAGAUCCAACCGUUGGAACGUAAUGAAAUUUUAGUAUGUUGUUCUAGAUGUAUAAUGUGGAUGUUGAUAAGUUACGGAUUAUAAAUCUGAUAGGCAGAUCAUCCGGUUUAAAUUUCUAGGGUUGUGAACCCUAUACUUGAUCUUGAUCGACGGGUGACUUUUUAUAGUCAACUAAACCGAGUUUCUAGCGUGCUAUUUAUCUUAGAGUGUUGUUGACAUUUCAUGAAGUUUAGUGGGCUCAUUGCGACGACGGGUGGCUUGAUUUACCUACAAGUGACUAUAAUAUAGGUGAUUUAUAUUGAAUUGUUAUUUUAUUUUAUUGCCAUUGAUCUACAUUUGUGAAUUGUGAAAUACGAUUGACUUGAUCUCUCUAAAGGGUACGUAGGCAGUCUAACGAGAAGUUAGAUGCAUCCAUAAAAUAAAUGAGAUCGAAUUUUAGUGGAAAAUCAUCAAAUUGCGAAGUGUUAGAAUGGUUAUUAACAUAAAGGGUAACUAUGACAUUUUUGGCUUACCACUAAAUGUAAAUUCUGAAAUAUAUUGGCGGGGCAUUACAUAGUCUCCGAAGGCCCAACCAUCACCCCGAGGGUGAAGCUGUACAACACGAGGUUACACCGCUGAAGAAACAUGAUAGGUCCCAUUACCCGAAGGUGAAACUGUACGACUCUGGGUUACGCCAUAGAAGAAAUAUACAUAACACGGACACUAGCUGUGGCUAGUGAAGCUGUCCGACACUAGUUUCGCCAAUGAAGCUAGGCGUAUGUCAUAAAUAUCUCACUACUCAUCAAACUGUGUCCUAUGGUCAUAAACAGAUACAUACUCGUGUUGUGUUUAUGAGUUGUAUGAUUACCCACUAAUAAGUACAAAAAACAUAAAUAAAACUUUUCAUAUCAAAUCCUCGGAGCUCAAAAGCUCAAACAUCAUAUCAUAAAUCCAUAGGAGCGUUCUAGCUGAAAUCAUCAUCAUAAACCAUAAUAAAUCAAUCAUGUGAAAUCAUAAAUUCAUAUAAAUCCGUAAUAUUUCAUAAGGCGUAAAUCCAAUAAUUCGUAACGUUUCGUAAAACGUAAAUUCGAUAAAUUAUAAAUAUAUUUCAUGAAACAUAAAAUCAGGAAAUCAUGCUUUUCAUGAAUGCAAUACGAGCAUUUAAUAAAAAUUAUGCAUUUUGAGAAGAGGGUCACUCACAGAUACUUGUGAGGUCGCAGCCGUUUGAACUAGGAAAGUCGGAGUCUCCAAUAGUAAUCGCACCUAAGCAUAAUAUUGGGACCCAUUCGUAAAACUCAACUAAAACUUUUAAAUUUGGGAAAACAGAGUGCAAAUUUGGAUCAGGGCGUUGAAAUAUCCUAAGAGGAGUCCCGGGCAAAUUUCGUAAAAAGUCAACGGGAAAGUCAAUGGUCAACUACAUUAAAACUUUAGAAUUUCACUAAAUAGAUGUCAAAAACAGCUUGGGGCAUCGAAAUAAGCUUAGGAGAGUUUCCGAAAAAGUUUAGUAAAAGUGGACGCAAAGAAUAUUUCAAAGAAUAUUCUAAGAAUAUUCCAAAGAAUAUUUCAAGAAUAUUUCAAAUGAUUUAUUAUUAUUAUUUUAAACUUUGGUCAUGUCACGUUUUGUUUUGCAUCCCCUUCAGGUAGAAUCGAGGCAUACGAUCCCAAUGUCAAGGUACUCCCACAUCGGUAUCUUCAAGUCCUCGGUGUAGGAUUCACUUUCUUUGUAAUCACAUUUAUUUCAUAAUAUUCCUUUUGCACUAUUCUUGAUUAGAUGUAUGUUUUGAACACAUUCCCGGAUCCACACAUUUUCAUUAUAUUUAAAUUUAGGGACACUUUGGAUGCAGUCCCUAACUACCAAUAUUCUUUGAUCGAAGUCCCUGAUAUUAAUGUAAUAAUAUAUUUCUAUGUAGGUUACUAUAUUCUUAAAUUAAAGUUAUUUAUAUUAAUGAGAUUUUAAAUAAAACCCAUAAUUUAUAGGGAGUUUUAACGAAAAGACCACGGUUCUGUUCACUUUAACGAAAAAUCACAUUUUUACACUAAAAAGUCAAUCAUUGUACUAUUCACUUUACUCUUUAUUUUGUCCUUGUCGUUAAAACUCAAAGUUUUCGAACCCUUUUUAUUAAUUUUCCUUAAUUUAUGGAAGUAAAAAUAUUAAAGAUGAAUUAUACUCUCCAAUAUAUUGCGCAUGUGUGUAUAUACACACACAGGGGCACGUUCUUCAAAGCUAACUAAACAAUUAUUGUACCAAAAUAUGGGUACAUUUUUCAAAACACAAAAAAAAAAGGCUUAAUAACAUUAUCAAAUUUCUUUUAUUAAGCUUGACAUGGAUACAUUCUCAAAUCAACGAAAUAGAAUGUGCUCAUAUAGUUAAAAAAAAGGUACAUUUUUCAUAUGACAAAUUAGUAUAGUUAAGAAUUGAAUUUUUUUUUUAUAAAAAGUUAAUGGUUACAAACUUAUUCUAAUUUUAUUUUUUUAUAUUUUGGAAAUGUUUGAAUUGAAAAUUAAUUAGGAGUUUAAUAAGGGUGUGAGUAUUAAAACUCUAAAUCAAUUACUAAUUUUUAUUAUAAAAAUUAUGUAACUUACAUAAAAUUCAUUAAUAUAUUAAUACUAGGGACUUUGAUCAAAAUCUAAAAACUAAUAAGGUCUUAGUUAAUAAACAUUAGAAACCAGGGACCAUAUACUAAUUUUUUUACUUAUUUUAUUUAUGUUCAUUUCUUCUUUAUAACUUGCAUGCAUGUUAAACAUAGCUUCGUCAUCCUUGGGUGCUGGCCAGCACGUGCCUAUCCUAGUAUUUGGGGAUAUCGAGAUCAGGGCGUGUCGCCAUAUGAGAGGGUUUCAACAGAAUUGUGGUUCAUGGAGCCUUGUGAUUUGACUACUAGAAUUAUGGCUAUAGGAUACCGAUGUUUACACACCAUUUGCAAUUGGUGUCCAUAGACAUAAAGCAAGCACUCUUAGUUUUUUUUGGUGUCUUUAUAGUUGGAUGCCACUGAUAUCGGUGGCCUUCAAAAUUUAGACACCAACCAUUGGUGUCUGUUAAAUAACUUUUAUUCUUAAAAAUACUUUUUUUGUGCAUUUGUGAUUAACUGGGCACCAAUACAAUUUAUUGAACACCAAUACAACAAAUAAAAAUUGAGAGCUAUUCUCUCCCCUGUGAGAGUCUUUCUCACUGUUGUGUGAGUGGUCUUUUGCUCUCUUUGAUUUGCGUCGGCGCCGGCCUUAGCUUUGGUUAGGGUCGGUGCCAGUCCUUUGUUUUUCAUGUGUGCUUUGUUUCUGUGGUUUGUUGGGUUUUAGCUUUUUUUGUUGCCUGUAUGUUUUCCUCCCCUUCUCUGCCACUUUCACGAUAUGCUUCUAUCCUUUCUCCUUUUACUUUUGAUCUCACCUUUUUGAGACCAAACCUCAAAUCCCCCGUUUCCUACAUCCUCUUUGACCAUUUCCCCCUCUUUGACCCACCCCCUCCAUCUACUGCAUCAUCUUGGCCUACCAUCUAUCCCCCAUCUUUCACCCUUACCUCUGUCCUCAAUUCCGGUUGGUUACCGUCUCAGUUUACCGCGAUCUAUCGCGGAUCUUUGGGAGGAUGUGUAGAGCUUUAGAUCGGGUGUUCGCAGCACCACCACCCUUGUUGAUUGUUGUUGGUCUUUCCCGUAGUUCACCCUUGCCGACGUUAUUGCUCGUGGGUUCUCCCUGCGUGCUUCCUUGUUCUCCUGACGACGGUUCUUGCUGGUACUUUGAGAAAGUUGUGGCUUUUGUCUUAAUCAUUUCUAUGGUUUUUGGUGGUGUGAUCUUAAGUGAUCGUGAUUGGAGGCUAACCAUGACGUUUGUUGGGAGGCUCUCCGGUGUUGGUUUCGGCGUCUCCAGCUUUUAGAAGACUAGUUUUUUAGGUUUUUCUAUGUUGUUUGUUUGUGUGUGUUGUACUCUAAGGUUGGGCUUGGGGCUUUGCCUUUUGUUUGUGUGUGGCCCCUUUUUGUUUGUGUAUAACUUGUUUUGGGCCUUUGUUGUACUUGUGUUUGUUGAUAAUAAAUUUUACCCUUUGUCCAAAAAAUAAAAAAAAACCAAAUAAAACAAAUAAAAAAACCAUUAAACCUCUCUCCCCUUCACAAAAGUCCAACUCCUCCCCUUCAUUCCCUCUGAUUGCUUCCCCAUUCAUUCUAAGCUCCUCCCUCCCGUAUCCUCUCUCUCCCUCUUCUCUUUCAUGCAGCAGCGGCUCCGUCCUCCGGUCACCAACCAACGUCAAACUAUACCUCCAGAAUUCUCUUCCCUUCCUCUUUCCAACCCUCAAGUUAGUUUCUCCAAAUUUGUAGCUGAAUUUUCUUAAUUUCAGAUCUAAAAAACGGUGACCGUGGGUAUUCCGGCCAAUUUCCGGCGAAGUCUGCCUGAAUUGGACCUCAACCAAGAGGUAAAAAUGAUCCUCUCCUCAUGGCUGUUCCCUAGUGUAAGUGAUUUCUCAAAAUAAAAACUUUCAAUUUUUGGAUCGAUUCUAGAUUUCAAAUUUUAAUUCCAUUUUCUAUAUGCAUGUCGAAGAUUGGGGACGAGGAAGGUGAAUCAAGGUUGUUUCCAACCUGGGCCGAGAAGAAUGGAAGCCUUGGAACAUUGUGGGCGAAACUAAGGUGAAGAGGGUUCUUCUAAAAAAAUUAAGGUGAACAAGGUGAUUUUCUCCUUAACCACAACUAUUACAUUUUAUCUCUUGCUUGGAAUUUUUUUUAAAAUUCCCAGGAUCUGCUUUGGCAAUACUUUUGAUGGUAAAAAAGAAGCAGCUGCUUUUAUAAAGCUUUUGUAGUCUCAAGCACGGUAAAUAUAAUAGCACUAGAAAGUGAGGAAAUCCACUUUCUUUGGUCAGGUUGGAUUCUCUACUAUGACUACCAUUUUUAUCUCUAAACAAAUUUUUAAUGGUAUGUAUGAUAUAAAAAGGUAAAUUUAACUAUUUUGGUUUCUUUGUUCUCACGCUUUGGUGCCUCGAGUUUUAAUUUUUCAUAGUUGUGUCUGAGUUUUUUUCCAGUUACAAUUCGGGAGUCAUUGGCAACUUCUACGGGACCAAAAUUGUUUUUAGGUCAAAAUACAGGAACCAAAUCAUAACUAGACUAGGAGAUUACAUUACAUUACCAAAGUAGGAAAGUUCAGUCUUGAUUCAGAGUUUGGCAACAUAAUAUGUAUGUAGGAUGUUGUUUUAGAACCGCUUGGUAAGUGUUAAAUACAUCUUAUAACAUGACUAACUAACAAGCAUGGUCGUUCAGAUAUACAUGCAAUUGAGAUCACUGAUUAAAUCAGAUUUCUUUUAUAUUGAAGCAAAUCUUGCCUAUUAGGUGUUUGUAAAAAUUCCCCAAAGAGUUAGAAGUAGGAUAUGAUGCAAAUCUGAAUGUAGGCUGUUUUGGUAUGUGUGUGUACGUAUAGGGUGUUAGAAUAAAAGUUAGUAUUGUUUUACACUGCCAGGUGUCACAAUUGUAUUGGAGAUUCUAGAAGUUAGUUAUGUGUGAUUGUAUUUAUAAGGAUGUAUGAUGUAAUAAUUGAGAUAUAAUGAAAUAAUAGUUUCUCUCUCUACACUCUCUCUCUCUCUCUUCAAAGCUCUCUAGUUCUUCUCUGCCUUUCACCAUAGCUUUCUCUUAGUGUUAUCAUGGUAUCUUAGCCAGCCAUGGUUUACACCAUUGCUUAACGAUUCCUAUGCUUCCGCUCAUCUUCAUCAUUCCGGUGACCGAUAUUGGUGGCUGUUUGCUGGUUAUUAGUGAUUCCGGUCAAGUGUCGAUUACUCAAAAAAAAAAAAAACCCUAAGUCGGUGGAAUUUCUUUUUGUCGAUUGUUUGAUUCUGUCAUCGGAGAUUGUUGCUCUGUUCGUCGAUCUUUGCAAUUGCUACUGCUUCGCAAUUUGUUUAGCCGUGGUGGUACAAUUGAGGUGUUUUCUCUCAAUUCUUGCUACUUAGUAUUGUUUAUUGAUAGUUCUGUGUCAAUCAAAUUGUUGAUUUUUGGGCAAUUCUUGCUGCGUGAUUCGUUGUGCUUCUGUUUAUUUCUUGAGUAAAGGAGUUGUGUUCUUGAAAGUUAAUUUCAUUGUUGAAUUGUUGAUCUCUGUUGGUGCAUUAUGGUUACCACUUCACAAUUAGCCCUUACACAAUCUCCAAUUUCUUCACUUAUACCUAGUGUUGGAAACACAGUUACUGUGAAAUUGGAUUAUUCAAAUUAUGUUACUUGGAAUUUUCAGAUAUCAUUGUUACUAGAAGGGAAUGAAAUUAUGGGGUUUAUUGAUGGAUCCAUUCCAUGUCCUUAGAAAUAAACUGAAUUGGAAUCUGAUGAUGAGUCGGUUGUUAAUACUUCUCCACUGACUGAUGCUUAUAAAGUUUGGAAAAUCCAUGAUAAAGCUCUUAUGACCUUGAUCACUGCAACACUCUCUACUGCUGCAUUAUCUUGUGUUAUUGAAUGUCAAAGUGAAGGAUUAUUUUGUGAAAACAUGUUCAUUUAAGCAACAUCUAUAAGCAUGCAAUUAACAAUUAAAGGCGGAAUCAUGCUUGCAUGCACUUAAAAACAAAACAUUAACCAAGAAAUUCAAAGCCUAGUAGAUUGGUUAACCAAAACUCAACUCAAAACAAAGUGAGUUGAAAUUGUACCUUUGUAGAUUCCUCUUUGCAUAAGCAAAGGCUAAUCACCCAAAGAGAGGGCCUUCAUUCCUUGCAUCUAAAAUCUAUGGAUUUGGAUGGAUGAAAAGGUUUCUCCAAGUUCCCAAAAUUGAGAACCUCUAAGUCUCCACACCAAGGAGAGAUUGGAGAAGAAAAUGAGUGACAUUGGAGUAGUAGUAUGGCUAGAUACACCCUCCAAGGGGCCGGCCUCUUUAGAGAGAAAUGGAGAGACAUGUUCUCUCCAAUUUUCUCCAAAACAAACCCUUAAUGAAUUUUGGCUAUAAAGUCAUAUUUAUACCUUAAUUCAUUGGAGUGGCAAACUUGUAAAUAAGUCCAAAACCCACUCCAAAAGCAUCAUGGCCGGCCUUGGGGUUUCAUUGGGCCUUUUAGGCCUUUGUGAAUCAUUAUUCAUUAAGUUGUCAUACAACUUAAGUCAAUGGGCUUGACGUUCGAAGCCCAUUGGGCCUUAAGGUCCAAAACUAUCCCGAGGUCCUUAACGAACUUAUUCGUUUGAUUAAUUAACAUAUUAAUUAAUCAUUGCCAUAAAUAAUUAAACCAUUUAAUUAUUCUUACUCAUCUCCAUUGUUUCUUCAAUCUCCACCUUACACGGUGUACGAUCCAUUAGGUUCCUUUUAGCGAGGUAGUGGGCGAUUAAAACCAUUUUACAUCGAUUGUGAAUUGAAACUUACUUUCAAUUCUCCCUUUAGUGAUUACACACGUUUAGGGCUUCCACAAACCAUGAGUGACACCUAGCAGCAUAUCAUGGUUACCCAAGCUAAUCAGAAGAGGUGGAGAACCUAUUCAGUUUAGGAUUACAAAUGCAAUACAAUCUUUCUCUAAUACAAUACUCUUGACCACAUUGUUUGGUUUGAUAGUUUAUUUAUUCAUGUCUACUAUCCAAUGUGAUUCGUGUGCUUAUAUGAUUACCUUAAAUGUGAUUUGGAACGCUUUCCUAAAUCUCAUUCAUACUCUGGCCAGAGGUUCUAAUCAUAUCAUAGAGUAUUCUCCCUCAAACGGUUUGAAGGUUAGAGAUCCCUUGUUGCGCAUUCACUUGUCUCCAUGACUAAGUGGCUUAACCCCAAUGAUGUCGUGGACACCCCGAUGGGGUGACUUUGACAUAAUCAAAGAUCAAGGACUUAACCACAAGACAACUGUGAUGCCUCAGGUCAAAUGACUACUUUGCAUUAUCCCAACCAUGAGUUCUCAUGUGACAUGAAUAUGAGAACUCUUCGUUGAUCCUGUUCAGUGAACUCAUUCUCUAUUGAGCACCUACGUACUUGACUUGAUGUCACACACACCAAUGACUCGAGACUAGUCACUCUCCUUGAGAGAAGACACAGUACGUACUGAUCUUAACGGACUGUCAAUGCCCAAUUGGCAAUCCUAUGAUCCGGAACAUUUAGGAUGUGUCUACGAAAGAAUGGUCUCAUGAAUCUAACUUUUUUAGAUCGUAUUCUCCCAAUCACAUAUUCCUUGGACUUAUCGUUUAAGCAUAUAACAUUUAUAUGAGACGGCUCAAACAAUAAUCUUUGCCCUUGAUAUUAAACUAGAUUAGUUUAACAUGUGAAAUGUCCAUAAAGUAUCAUCAUAUGAUUGGUUUUAGGGCACAUUUCCAACACAAAGCUCUAGUGAUAUGUGGAAUAGUUUGAAAGAAAGAUUUGCUCAUAUGACUCGCACUAGCAUUGUUCAAAUGAAGAUUGAUCUGCAGAACAUUAAGAAAGGGCCAGAAUCCAUUGAUGCUUAUUUGCAGAGAAUUAAAGAGUGUAGGGAUCAAUUAGCUACUGCUGGUGUUGUGAUUUCUGAUGAGGAUAUUGUCAUUGUGGCUUUACGAGGAUUACCUACAUAAUACAAUACCAUUAAGUCUGUGAUUCGGGACAGAGAGAGUUUGGUUACAUUGAAAGAGCAUAAGUCUCAGCUCAAGGCCGAAUAGUCUACUUUGGAAGAAGUUCUUAAACCACCACCUUUAAUGGCAGCUAUGUUUGCCAAUACUUAUGGUCCAACUUAUGAAAUUGGUGGCUCUUCCAACUCUAACUCACAUAUUGGCAGCUUUGAUCUUGGAUCUCAUGGUUCCUCAUUUUCACCAAUGGCUUAAUUUCAACAAUUACCAUUUCCUUCUUCCCAAGGUCCUGUUGCUUUUGUUUCUCAAACUGGUUCUGGAACUUAUAACAAUUUUAGGGGGAAUAACUAUAGAUCCAAGGAUAAAGGGAAGAGGUUCCAUGCUGGUUAUCAACAACCUUCUGGAUAUCUAAAUUUUGCACAACCUCCACUCCAAUCUCAGUCACAGUUUCAAAAUCCUGGAAAUCAAAUGGUUUCAGGUGAAUCUUUUCAACCAUUACUUGUUUUCCAAAUAUGUGAUAAGAAGGGACAUGUUGCUUUAAACUGCUUUCAGAAUGGCUGCCAAAUCUAUCACAGAAAGGGACACACAGCUGCCACUUGUUUUGACAAGAAUAAUCUUGCAUCUAUGACUGUGCCUAUGUCUCAGACUUUCUUCCCAUCUCUUAUGAUGUUUCAGCAACAUUCAUAUCCUUUUACUCCUUCACAGUUGCAGCUACAUCUUCAGUCUCCAAAUUCUUUUCCUUCUCAAGUGCAGCCUUCCACUAUGAUGUCUUAAUCUCAGUUUUCUAAUGGGGUGAUAUAUUCUCAACAAAAUUCACCUGUUGCUUUUAUUGCCAGAACCAAUUUCUCUCCAACAGCCCCACAACAAGAGUAUUGGUUGCUGGACUCUGGAGCAACUAAUCAUAUAACAUCCGAUCUCUCUAAUAUGCAAGUUACUACUCCAUAUGCUUCCUCAGAGACUGUGACUGGUGCUAAUGGUGAAGGUUUACAAAUUUCACACAUUGGUCAAGCUAGUAUAUCUACUCCUUCUCAUACACUUGAGUUAAAAUUUGUGUUACAUGUUCCACAACUAUCACAACACUUACUGUCUAUGUAUCAAUUAUGCAAAGACAACAAUUAUAGGUGUAUUGUUGAUGAGUUUUCUGUGUGUAUACAAGACAAGGUCACCAACAGGAUUCUAUAUCAAGGACUGAGAAACUAAGCUGUCUACCCACUUCCUAUUCUCAAAUCACCAAAGACAAAUCCUGCAACAUUUCUUGGACAGAAAAUAAAUGCUUCUCUUUGGCAUUGCAGAUUGGGUCAUCCCACCAAUUCUGUAACUCAAGUAGCUCUUAGUAAGUCAGCCAUUAAUUUCCCUUGUAAUUCACCACCUCAAACUUGUACUGCUUGUUUACAAGGCAAGUUCACCAAGUUGUCUUUUCCUAUAAUGGCUUCAAAGUCCCUUGUUCCUUUUGAAGUCAUUCACACAGAUGUAUGGGGUCCCUCUCCUACUAAGUCUAUAGAAGGGUAUAGCUACUAUGUGUCAUUUAUUGAUGAAUGUACACGAUAUACAUGGAUUUUCCCCAUGAAUAAUAAAGCUGAUGUCUUUGAGAUAUUUGUCCGAUUUCAUGCUUAUGUUCACAACUACUUUUCUGCAAAUAUUAAAGUUUUGCAAAGUGAUGGUGGAGGUGAAUAUGUUAGUACUCUUUUUCAAAACUUUAUCACAACCAAAGGCAUUGUUCAUAAAAAAUCUUGUCCAUACACCCCUGAACAUAAUGGUUUAGCUGAAAGAAAGAAUAGGCAUCUUGUUGAAACUGUUGUUACAUUACUUCAAAAAGCCUUCUUUUCAUCUAAGUUCUGGUUUCAUGCAUGUGCCACAGCUGUCUAUCUUAUUAAUAGACUGCCUACUUCUAUCUUACAUAUGCAAUCGCCAUUCGAAAUGUUGUAUAAAUCUCCACCUCCAGUUGAUCAUUUAAAGGUUUUUGGCUGUGCUUGUUACCCUUCCUUAAAACCUUAUAGACAUCAUAAACUUGAUCCUAAGACUACUCAGUGUAUUUUCUUGGGAUAUGUUGCUCAAUAUAAGGGGUAUGUAUGCUAUGCUAUAAGGGAUAACAAGUUAAUUGUUUCCAGGCAUGUUUUGUUUGAUGAAACUGUUUUUCCUAGUGAACAUGGGAUGUCUUCUUCAUUUUCUAGUCAUGCUAUAUCUUCUAAGUCACUUCCAGCUACCAUAACUCAUCCUACUACAUUUCAUCAUCCUCCCAUUAUUCCCAUACCAUUUCCACACAUUUCAUCUUCUCCGAUACCUGUUACUCAGUCCUGUUCCCAAUCAAAUGGUGAUCUUGGUCCUACUUGAGGUGUUUCUACUUCAGAGUCUCCAUCUUUCUUGAUGCUAUCUGAAAAUCAUCCUGAUGUAACUAGUUCUUAGGCUCCAGAUUUGCAACAAGUAUCUAUGAUCAGUCUUAAUACUCAUCCAAUGCAAACCAGGUCCAAGUCUGGAAUUUUUUAAAAGAAGGCUUUUUCUGCUUCUAUUCAAGCAGAUUCAUCUCUGGACAAGGAACCUCAAUCUUUUUGAGUUGCUGCUAAAUCCUCUCAGUGGCAACAAGCAAUGACAGAAGAGAUUGAGGCAAUUUUCAAACAGAAAACGUGGACACUAGUUCCUCUCCUACUUCAUAAGAACUUGGUGGGUUGUAAAUGGAUAUAUAAAGUGAAAAGACAUCCUGAUGGAUCGGUUGCCAGGUAUAAGGCUUGUUUAGUGGCCAAGGGAUUUUCUCAAGAAGCUGGUCUCGAUUACUAUGAGACUUUUAGCCCUGUGGUUAAGCCUACAACAAUUCGGUUGAUGUUGUCAUUGGCUGCAACAAAGGGCUGGAAACUUAAGCAGCUAGAUGUGAAAAACGCUUUUUUGCAUGGCUUUCUAGAUGAGGAAGUAUACAUGUCUCAACCACAAGGGUUUGUUGACAAGGAUCAUCCAGAUUUUGUAUGCAAAUUAGAAAGGUCUUUGUAUGGCCUCAAACAAGCUCCCCAAGCUUGGAAUGAAAGAUUUUCUAGAUUCCUUCUCAGUUUAGGGUUCAAAGCUUCAUAUCCCGAUCCUUCUUUAUAUGUCAAGAGUGAUGGUCAUUCUCUUGUUGUGUUGCUAUUAUAUGUUGAUGACAUUAUACUCAGUGGAGAUGAUGAUUCUCUUGUUCAGUAUGUGAUUAAUCAAUUAACCAGUGAAUUCGAUAUGAAGGACUUACGGGUCUUACACUAUUUUCUUGGGUUACAGAUUGAGUAUCAACCUUAGGGAUUGCUAGUUUAUCAGUCUAAGUAUAUCAAGGACUUGCUGCAUAAGGCACAUAUGUUUGAUAGUAAGCCUUGUACCACUCACUGUCAUCCUUACCAAAAGCUCUUAAAUCAUGGUAGUCCUCCAUUUCAUGAUCCAGGUCUUUACAGAAGUAUAGUUGGAGCCUUACAGUACUUGACUUUCACUCGACCUGAUAUAGCCUACUCAGUCAAUUAGGUAUACCAGUUUAUGCAUUCUCCUUUUGAAAGUCAUUUUGUUGAUGUGAAAUGAAUCUUGAGGUAUCUCAAAGGAUCUAUGACUCUCGGUUUGUGCUUUAGACCUGGUAAUCUGGAUAUACGAGCUUACACAGAUGCUGAUUGGGCUGGGGAUCCUAAUGACAGAAGGUUAACCACUGGUUUUGUUGUAUUUUUAGGUGAUAAUCCGAUUUCUUGGAGUUCUAAGAAACAUCAUACUGUUGAGGAUGUGUGGAUUCAACAGUUACUCAAUGACCUAUUUCUCUCUUCUGCAACAACUCCAUUGCUCCACUGUGAUAAUAUAUCAGCUAUAGCCUUAGCAACUAAUCUCAUUUUACAUUCUAAGGCUAAACACAUAGAGAUUAACUGUCAUUUUGUGUGGGAAAGAGUGCAGCAAGGCACAAUUCUGUUGCAGUUUGUUAAUUCCUCAUAACAGUUUGCUGAUAUUCUUACCAAGGGUCUAUGUUUUCCAUUGUUUAAUUCUCAUUGCACCAAUCUUAUGCUUGGGAAUGCCCAGCAUAAAAUUGAGGGGGAAUGUUAGAAUAAAAGUUAGUAUUGUUUUACACUGCCAAGUGUCACAAUUGUAUUGGAGAUUCUAGAAGUUAGUUAUGUGUGAUUGUAUUUAUAAGGAUGUAUGAUGUAAUAAUUGAGAUAUAAUGAAAUAAUAGUUUCUCUCUACACUCUCUCUCUCUCUCUUCAAAAGCUCUCUAGUUCUUCUCUUCUUUUCACCAUAGCUUUCUCUUAGUGUUAUCAUGGGGGUGUUAUAUUGAUACGACAUGCUGCCUAAUUUUUCUAUUUUUGGAUUGCUAGAUCAAAGAAGGAAGUUCAAUUUAUCAAGGAUAAAGGUUUGGACUACUAGACAGCAUGCCGCCUUCGGUUUGAGGUAUGGAAGUUUCGUGCUUACAAUCUGGCCGCUUACGUGUUUAAAUUUCUGGUUUAUCAAUAUGCUCAAGAUUUGGUUAGCAGGUAGUUAUGCUAACAAAUCAAAAUUCCUUUAAGAAUCUGGUUGGUAAUCUUGGUAACCUCUAUAUUUGUGUAAAAAUCAAGAGCCAUCUGCAUAGUCCUAUGCUAAUGAGCUGCAAGUAAAACUUCAGUAAUAAUGUGUUUUUGUAUUUCUUUCUAGCGAUCAACUCUUUACGCUCGAAAUUUGGCGAUUAGGACUUGCCUUUGAUUUUAUUCGGUGCAGCAGAGUUUUUCUUCGAUUUGUUCAUCUUCUUCCUGAUUUUUGUUCCAUUUUUUUUAUAUUGUUUUGGGAUAUGUGAAUGUAAUUUUUUGGGUAUUUCUUUGCUUCAAUUCUCUCUAAUUUUUUGUUGUUUAGUUUGACUGGUAUUUCCCUAUUUGUUACCCAAACAACAGUCCUCUUAGAUACUACUUGCUUGGAGUACCAUAUACCUAUAUAGUAGUUUGAAACCUGACCUAGUUUGAAGAAACCUAGCUCAAACAUCCCACCUGCAGAGAUAAUGGUUUGAUCGCCAGAGAGAGAUUUGCAUGACAUGAUUAAGCUCUUUGGAAACAGAGUGUUCAAACACUUUUCAAAGUUUGAGUCCCAACAUUUGUUCAAAAUUGUAUAAAAGAUCAGUUAUGGAAAUUUGUGUUAUAUUCUUAUAUCAAAGAUAUUACAAUUUGUUUCCUCACCCAAAAAAGAGAGGAAAUAUUCCUAUUCAAAUCUGGGUGCCCCCGGAGGCAUCUUUUUUUUUUUAAUAUUAUUUUGCAACUUUGCCACCAAUGUGAAUUAGGGUGGCAUUGUUUGCAGAUGACACCAAUGCAAUAUUGGUAGCCAUUGUUACAAUAGAGUCCUCUACAUAGGCCAUGUUCUCUAGUUUAGUGGCUGCUUUGUGGCCAUUUAGGUUUGCCACCAAUGAAAGUGUCCACACUUGACAAUAGACACCAAUGAAAAGGGUGGCUUUUAGCCAAAAUUCUAGUAGUGUUUGGAGUGCUACUAUUAUAAGGACGUGGUCGUUGUAUCUUGGGAGACAAGAGCCGAUCAACCAUGAGCAUCGUAGUGGGGCGUAAACGUGUCUUAAUGAUAGAGUGUCUAACACUUGCCUCAACAAUAUUUCCACAUUUUUCAAAUCCAUUAUGUCAUGUUCAUUUAACAUUGAUUACUCAUGCGCAUGCAUUAAUUUUGAUAUAUAAUUGCAUGAAUUAUUUCUUAAUUUUCUAUGUGAUUUAAUAUAGCAAUAGACCAUAUUUUUCAAGUUCGUCUACCCAAGGAGAUUGCCGGUAUAUUACGUACAUAUCAUAACUGAAGAAGGCAUCUACUUUUCAGUGUGUAGAAAAAUAUUCUUGUAUGAUUUAUUUCAUUCCCAAUUACACAAUAUAUAAGAUACAUCGGUAUAAUGGUUGAUUACAAUUGAAUGGAUUACACAACAAGAUAUGAAAUAGCCAACUUUCCAUUAUUGACACCAUCUUAUUGAUGAUAGAGAGAUUUGUUGUGAUGAUGGAGAUGAGAGAAUCCCGAUGUUGACCUUAAAAACUAUUUAGCCUACAUGACGCACAUGCCGAAUAGUUAAUAAGCUAACUACAUCCAUCGGUUGAUUACAGGGCUUGCCAAAUCGUCGGUCGAGCUUGGGCGGGGAGUGAAUGAGUUGAUGUGGCGUUGUGCGCGCUGAUGACUUCUGAAUCUUGUGACUGCGGCUGAAGAAGGAACACGUCUCAACCUUCGAGUUGUACAGCCUGAAGACAAGGCUGUUAGUUCUGCGAAUUUCACGAAUCGUGGGCACUGGGUUCAGCAAUGGCGAAUCGAUACCGAAUUGUAGAGGCACAAGUAUUUUGAGAUAUGUGUCUUGAUUGUAAAUAUGAUUCAACUGUUUGAGUGUCGAACUCUGAAAUGCACUUGUGAGUAUCCUAUCAUAUACUAAGUUCGGCCUUCAGUGUGCCAAACGUCGUAACUUGGUAACACUUUACUUCAUUGAGAAGGCUAAUAAGAUGACCUUUUCCAACAAGGACUCAACAAAUCCUUGUUGAUCGAGACUUGGAUAGAUAACCAGUCGGUCGCGAAGAAAUGUUGUUUAUCCAAACUGAAGGUGCUCUUCAAUAGGCUGAUUCUACAGCUCCAGUGUUGUUUAUCCAAACUAAAGAUGUUGCCAGUUGCCAACAUAAUGUUGUUUAUCCAAACUCAAGGUAUAUUGGUGUUAAAAAGGUAAAAUAAAAAUCUCAAGAUGUGUGAGAGGUUUUGCAUAGAGCGAGAGUUUACGCAAGGCAGUUUUGUGUGUUGGUCUAGAGGGGAUCUUAACUUCCUGUUGCUUCUUUAUUUAUAAAACAUAUUUUCACCUUGGCACGACCUGACAAUUUUGUAGAGUUCAAUAGAUUUAGAUCCCAUCUGGAUCCAAAUUGUAGGGAUCCUAUAGAUCCAAAUUGUUGGGAUCCUAAGGAUCUCCACGUCCUAGCCGUUCAUCGUAUAUCGUGCAGUCAGAAAUCUUUUUGAAUGAUGUAAGUAUCUCUAAAUCCCUAAAAAAAAAGAUCUGAAAAGAAUCCUCAUCUGAGUUCAACUGCAACUCAAACCAGUAGAAUUGAUCUAUGCCAUAGGCUAAAGCCUAUCCCCCAAUCAAAAACUUAUCACGUCACCAGAAAAAAAAACAAGUUUAUCUCCAUCAAAUCACUUCACUGAUCCAAGCCAUGCAUAUUUCCGUUGAUGAGACCGCGGAGAAAUUAUAGAGUAGUACUGUAGUACCACGUGGCAAGGCCAAAUGGUAGUACUCAUUAAUCAGAUUAAGAAACAUUUAAUUAUGAGAUAAUAAAAAUAUCAGUGUUCUAAAAAUCGGCCUAGGUAGCGCCUAGGCGCUGAGCGGUGGAGCUUUGACUCGAUUUAGACCAAAACGUUCAGUUAGGCGGGGAGGACUUAGGCGGCCGCCUAAGCUCUUGCUAGGAGCCUGAGGCGGGCUAAGCGACGCUAGGCGACAAUUUAGACGGUUUGAAUCCUGCUGCAAUUUUCGCAAAGGAUCUACAACUUUCGAUCUCGUACGUAGCAGCAGAGCCCCGGCGAAUUUCUACAGCUCGUCUCUGUGAAGAUGAGGGAAGAGAGAGUGCUAUCAGCAAAUUUUUGCAGCUCGUUUGUGAAGAUGAGGGAAUAUAAAGUGCGAUGAAAGAGAGAGAGACUUAAACAUUUCAAUGUGGUGGCACAAGUUGAGGAUUGGGAUCUCAAAUCCAAGGUUAAAAGCUGAUGGUUUUAUUUAUGAAAACCACCCAAGGUGGACGGUUGAUGGUUUUAAUAAUGAAAACCACGCACUAUGUGGGCUUUUUAUAUUUUUAAAAGUUUGGGAUAUAUUAUAAAGGUCGUACCCAGUGCACAAGGCUCCCGCUUUACGCAGGGUCUGGGAGAGGUGAAUGUCGGCUAGCCUUACCCCCAUUUAUGGAGAGGCUGCUCCCAAGUCUCGAACCCGAGACCUACCGCUCAUGGGCGAAGGCACUUGCCAUCGCACCAAGUGCGACCUCUUGGGAUAUAUUAUAUAUAUUACAAAUUAUUUAGAUAAUAUUUUGUUUUUUUUUCCUAGGCAAGCAUAGUAUAUACUAGAGAGACUCCCCAGUUCCCCCAACUUUUCCAGCUUCCUUCCGCUCCUAGAUGAGCAACGCAUGUACAUCCAAACUCCUUCCCUUCCUAGAUGACCAGCACGCAUACAUCCAACCUCCUUUCCUUCUUAGAUGACCAACACACUGCAUAAUGGGUAAACCAGUAAAUUCACUGUGCAAAAUGGAAAAUACGGGCUAAUAUCAAAGGAAUUGGAAGGCAUUUUCGUCCAUUCACUGUUAAUGAACAGUGUUUUUGUGUUGGGUUUUAGUAUAUGUAUAAUGUACAUAAAACCUUCACAUAUGUAUGUUCUUCUAUAAGAAAUAACAUAUUAGUCAAUAAUUAGUUACUUUUGAUAUAGUAAAUUUAAUUAAUUUAUAAAAUAUAUAACAAAUUUACCUAAAUCCGUCUAGGCCGCUAGGCCGCCUGUCUAGACCCCACCCAACCACUAAGUGCCAACCCGCCGUCAGACUAGCGCUUAACGUUUUUUAGAAUCUUGAAAAAUAUUUAUAAUUGUUUAAUUAUUUCAUUAACUAUCAAUAAAUCUGAAACCUCUCCGGCUUCUUCUCUCUCCUCUCUGUUCAUCGAGAAAUCUUUAACUUCAUCUCUUUCUUCUUCGUCUAUCUCCUCAUUGCCUCCUUUCUGUCGCAGAACUUCGUCCUCCGUGCGCUCUGCCGGUGAAUGACUACUGAUCAAAAUUUAAAUGAGACUUUUGAACCAAGGAGGUCCCUGUUCGAAAUGAGUUCGGCUUUCGUCACUGUUAAAAUUUAAAUGGGAAUGAGAGAGAUGAGUUCGAUGUCCUUCCUUCUGUUGUUUAGAUUUAUGUCAGAAGUCAGAAUUAUUCAUUUUGUUUCGAUCGUUUGUCUGUAAAACGUUCACCAAAAUAUUGCAUAUUUUGAAUGACCGGCCGACGAAAUUAGAUCCUCUCCGGACCAAUUUCAUAUGGACCCUCUGGACCAUUUAAUCCCGACUGUUCACCAUAGAAACGGCGGUGAGGACUAAAACUUUUUUUUUAUUUUAACUCUUCGCUCACCACGAAACAAUGAAAACAAGAAAUUAAAAGAUGAAAAUUGAAACACUUUUCAGAUUCUUUGCAGCUGAAAAUCAGUGAAAGGAUGAAAAAUUGUAUUUUUGGAUUUGUAGCAAUCUUGAAGGUUUGGAAAAUUGAAAUAGUUUUCAGAUUUUUUUUGCAGUUGAAAAAUAGUGGAAGGAUUGAAAGUUGUAGAUUUGCAGCAACCUUGAAGGUCUGGAGCUUUUCUUCAAUGAACGUCCAGAGCUUUGCUUCAAUGAAUUGUCUUGUGGGAGGAGAGAGAAGACAACAGACGAAGUUGAGGCGGUGAAGAGUUAAAUGCAUUAUUAAUAAAUUAUUAACUGAUUAUUCAAUUUAUCUUUCCACGUGUCUUAAUAUGAUUAGUAAGUACUAUCAUUUGGCCUUGCCACGUGGUACUACAGUACCACUUUAUAAUUUCUCAAAGACCGCGUGCAUGCACUAUGAUUCCUUCGUCAAAUUAAACUCUGACAUUUCAUUCGAAUUGAUGUAAUGUAAUCACCAUAUCUCAAGAUAAAGUUACGUGCUACAACCACCACAAUCACUCAAACAUGUUCAUGAAUUCCAAGCCAAUUUGAAUACUACCACUACUUCCAGAAUUGAGAUAUGACUUUGGGCUUUGAUAAUAAGCCACGUAGGAGAUUGCAUGCACUGGGGCUUGAUGUGAUAGUGUAUUCGAAUGUCUUCACGCAAUCUUUGAAAAUUGCACACGUGCCCACUUUUUAUUCCCAUGCAUAUUUAUGGAUCUCUCUUGCAUGUAUAUUAACCGUUUAUGGAUCUCUCUUGCAUAUAUAUGCAUAUGUACACGUUGUCGACUCCAGACUUCCUUCAUAUAUCCAUAGUCAUAGAUUCAAUUUGCUGAAAAAUUCUAGAUAGUUGGCUCAUCUGUCUACACCCACGAAACUAGAAGGUGAUAUUUUCUUGCUUAAUUGUAUCGCUUUGUUUGUAGGCUUUUGUUUUCUGUGAUCCAGAUGCUUUAUUAUACUAACGUUUCCUUGGCUCUUCGCCUCUGUUGAGGGAUCUUGUUUUUCUUGUUUAAGUUAUGCAUAUGUAAGCUAGACUAGUUAGACGAUAAUUUGAAAUCUCUCUACUCGUAAAUUGGAUUGGUUACAAAAAAAAAAUUGUCUUGUCGUAAAAGCUAAUUAAUAAAAACCGAUAUUGAUUUGGCUUUUUGGAUGGUUUUUUUAAGGAAAUAAUUUAAUCAAUGGAUGGGAUGGACUUAACACCCGAGUCAGCUCAAAAGUUGUUUGAAGGAGACGGAGGAGCAUAUUACAUUUGGUCGAGUUCAGAUGCUCCGGUGCUUGCUGAGGCCAAGGUUGGUGCAGGCAAGCUUGUUCUUCAACCUCAUGGCUUUGCACUUCCUCACUAUGCAGAUUCCUCCAAACUGGGAUAUGUUCUUCAAGGUAAGUAAUAACUAAUUAACUACAGCAUGCAAAUACAUAUAUAAAUAAAUGCAUUUAUAAAUAUCAUGUUCACGUAUGAGAGAUUUUUUUUUUAUUACGUCUGGAACACGAGAGAAUAUUAAUGUCACUGGAAAGUUUUUUUUAUUCAAGUGUCCAUCCAAUUGUAAAAUAACAUGUAGUGUUCUGUCUCGUUUUUCUAGUACACUAAAAAAUCUCUUCACCUACAUGUUUGCCUAUUUUAAUUAAUUUGUUUUUGUAAUUAAGAAAGAUGGAAAACAAAACUUUGUUAUUUGUUCAUCAAUGCCCUUAUUGUAUAACUAGCUAUAUGAUGGAAAACAAAAGUUUGUUAUUUGUUCAUCAAUGCCCUUAUUAUAUAACUAGCUAUAUGAUGGAAAACAAAAGUCAUACUUAACUUGCUAGACUAUAAUGCUUAUAUUAUUGUUGAAGAUCUUAAUUAGCUCUAAUGGUGAUGCAGGUGAUGAUGGAUUAGUAGGAAUGGUAUUCCCUAACACAUCAGAGGAGGUGGUGGUUAAGGUUAAGAAAGGAGAUGUGAUACCAGUACCAGUUGGAGCAGUCUCAUGGUGGUUCAACAAUGGAGAUCGCUCUGAGGAGCUUGUUGUUGUUUUCUUGGGUGAAACUGCCGGAGCUCACAUUCCCGGCCAAUUUACGUAUUUUUUGAUUGCCGGAACCCUAAGUCUACUUGCAGGUUUCUCAACUGAAUUUGUCAGCAAGUCCUUCAACAUCACCGAGGACGAAGCUGAUGACAUCACCGAAAGCCAGACUGGGGUUUUGAUCAUCAAGCUAGGUCAAGAUGAAAAGACCAAAAUGCCCCUUCCCAAUCAGAAACUCACCCACACACAUGUUCACAACAUUACUAGUAGUAAAACUACGGCCACAUUGACUGAGAAGGAAUUCCCUCUUCUUAAAGAAGCUGGGUUAAGUGCGAACCUCACGAAACUCGAGGCCGACGCAAUUAGCUCUCCAAUUUACGCACCUGAUUCCACAGUCCAGGUGAUUUAUGUUGCUCGAGGGAGUGGCCGGAUACAGAUUGUGGGUGUUAACGGUCAAUGUUUGUUGGACGCAGAGGUAACUGCCGGCCAACUGCUUGUGGUACCAACGUUCUU
rnacentral:lncRNA from 1 species